UGAAUUCCACGUGCAACCAAAUUAGCAUAAAGAUGACCAGUGAAAGUCUGGCGGGUGUCUUCACCUCUAAAACUCAAGAACACAUGAUAAUUAUAACCAUCACAAUUAGAAGUGGAAGACGACGCUUUUAAGGUGCUACUAGAAGCCAUUUCUGGACUGGAUCUGGCAAAUUACAAGGAGGCUAAGAACGGAAAGAAAGGGUCUUUGGUUGCUAAAUGGCUGUUCUUCUCCUCUGGCAAGCAAUUUUCCUUUUCUUUUUUUUUUUUUUGUGUUGGACGCAAGAGGGAAGAAUGAAAGUUCAUGGAAGAAAGAGAAAUACUGUUUGAGUCAACAAGCUAAAUUGUCCUGUUCCAAUUGUGGGGCUGCCACUAUUGCUCAGUUUCUCAGAUUCAUCGCGGCUUCACAUGAACCAACAGCUGGCCUCAAUAAUGAGACUUGCGAGUCUGUUGAUAUCCAUUUUAGGUUUUUCACUCUAUCAUUUUACUUUUAUUUCCCUUCCUUUGCCAUUCAAAAAUCAAAGCUCAUUCUUUUACAUCUAUGCCAUGUCCAUGUUUCUUCCAUUUUUCCAUUUUGAUUUAUUCUUUUAAUUUUUAUUGGAUUUUUUUUACCCAAUGAAGCUGUGAGACUCCUACGGUCCGUUUAGCAGGAUUUCUAAAAACCACUUUUAGUAUAAAAGAUAAUCAUAAAGAAAAAUUACGUAUCAAGAAAACACUUUUAAAUAUUUGAAAAAUUAUUUAUAAUAUUUUUUGGUGAAUCAUUUUGCCAAUAAUUCUUUUAAAAAGAUUUUGAAAGAAAAUAUUUUAAUUAAAAACAUUUAAAAUAUAAUCAUUUAAAGUAUAUUUGAUGAUAAUUUUAAGAAGUGUUUUAGGGUGUAUUUGACAAUAAUUUUAAAAAGUGUUUCUACUAUUUAUAAUACUUUAAAAAAUUUAUUUUUAAAAUAUUAAAAACACUUCUUAAAAUUACUAUCAAACGCUCUGUUAAUAUUUCUAAUACUUAAAAUAUUUUAUCAUUCAAGUAUUAUAAAUAUUAGAAACACUUUCUAAAAUCACUUUCAAACGAAUUCUUAAUAUACAAUGUGUGAUAAUAUUUCUAUUUGAACUGUUUUUAAUAAAAACGAUUUCUUUAAAAAUGUUUUUGUGAGAAUCAUCAAUUAGAGACUUCUCCCAAAAGCAUUAUGAGUGAUUUUUCAAUUUUUUAAAAGUGUUGUUUUAAGUGUUCUCUUAUUACUUCUCUAUGAAGCACUAAAAUUAUAGUAGAGUUUAAAUUUUUAUUCAAAAAUACUUUUUAUAUAUAAAGUGUUUUUUAAAAUUACAAUCAAAACCCUUAAUUUAAUUUGUUCAAUUAAUGAAAUUUUGUCAAACUCAAGUGAUUCAAGUUCAAUAAGAUCACCCUAGUUGCCAAAAAAUGAUUAAAUUUGUACAUGAUGAGAAAUGUUAAAUUAAGAGACAGAAAAAACAAAAUUCCUAUUAAAAACAUUAGGAAAUUGUAAAAGGACAAUGUAGCCAUGUGAGUAAAGAGAAUUUUUAUCUGGAUGGAUGGAAUAAAUAAAUAAACACAAUUUCCAUGAAAUCUUUUGGGAGAGGAAAUAUGUUGAAGAAAUUAUCAUUUGUAAAAUUGGUCAUGAAAAAAAGUCUCUCCUUUUUGCUUUAUGCAUUGUUUUUAUUAGGGUUUAAUAAUAUUUCUAAACUUCUUAUUCAAGAAAAUUGAACAAUUUAAUGUUAAACGAAAUUUAUGAAUACAAGUAUUAAAUACUUUUGGCUCCAAGACCGUAACUAAGUAUUUUAAAAAAAUGAAAAGAUGGAGUUCUUUCAUGAAAAGCUAUUGCCUUAAUUUUUUUCUACUCAAGAAUUGUGAUUCCCAACUUUAAUUAUAAAAAAAAAAAAAAAAAAAAAUAUUGAAGUUGCUUUUGAUCUGCCCAAGAAUCCAUGAUUCCCGCGGCAUGCUCAAAUAUUUUUGUGUAGCUUUCAUGAAUGAUGGCACCCAUGUGGUUUUGGGAGGUUCUCAAUAAAUCUGUCUUUGUGCAUGUGAGAGGGCACCCAUGGAGAGUGACAUAUUUAAAAUUCUCUAUUUGAAAAUUAGAUUUGCACAAAUGAAGAGUGGGAAUUGCACCUACAAUAUAACAAUACAUCUACACUAAACAAAGAAAUUCACUACCAAACACGAAAUAUUAUAUAUAUAUAUAUAUAUAUGUCACUUGCUUAUAAUAUAAAUUAAUGUAAUAAUGGUUGAGGUAUGAAAUUAAGUACCUGUAUAUGGAAUCUUAGAAUAGAGUUUAAUUGUAAUCAUAAUUCGAUUAGAUGAUUUCGAUCAUUGAAAGUAAUCAAUUCGGCUUUUGAAUAGGUACUUGUGAAGUAAUAAUGAAAAUGGUUGUGUCUUUCCUCCACGCUUGACCUCCACUUUUCAUCCAUGGACACCAAAUUUUCACCCCUAUACACUUGCAUGUGAUAACAUAUAAAAAAAAUUAAAUUUUAUACAUGGAAUAUCUACGAGCCAGAUAAUUUAGCAUGAAAGCUUUGUGUUCUAUUAUCUUCAGAAAUUUGUAGAAGAGUAUAUAAUAAUAAUAUAAAAAAUAAUAAUAAACAUCCUAUAAAUAUAAAAGAAGCAUUAAUUUUUAAAAUCAAGAAAAUAAAAUAAUAUUAAUAUUUGAAUGGUAUUAAUCUAUGGAUAUGUUGAUUGAAGUAAUUCUUAUUAUUGUGUUUAAUUCUAUAUAUUUUCUUUAUCAUUUUUGUUAUAUCUCCUUAAUUAUUCUUAUUGUUUCCAUACAUCUUCUUGAUUAUUUUUUUACAUCUCUUUAAUUAUUUUCAUUAUAUCAUUCAACCAUUUGGUGUUUUGAUUAUUUUUAUUUUUUUUCAUUUUAUGUUUAUUUCCUUUAAUAAUGUAUAAUUGUUAAGGAAUAAGAUUAAAAAAUAAAUAAAGUCUAUUCAAUAAUAUUUUUAAAAGGUACUUUUAAUAUAAAAGAAAUUAAGUAUUUAAUAAAAAUUAAAAAAAUUAGUUUGUAUAAAUAAAUGGUUAAAAACAUCUUAUUUUUCUUUAAAAAUAUAUUUUAUACUAGAAGUGAUUCUCUAAUAUAUUCAUAUUAAAUUUAAAAGUGAAACUAGCCUAUUAUACAAUAAGUUGGAGGAUCCCACCUAUUUCUUGGAGCAAUGGUUAAAACCUCAGAGUUGGAGGAUUAUUUUCAAAGUGUCAACGGAAAAAUCCAAGCUCCAUGGACAAUGGUUUCUCAAAAAAUUAAGGUUGAGGGUAUUAAGGGCCUUCCUCAAAGAGGACUAUGGGCUGUACCACCAAACUCCUCUUUUUGUUAUUAACAUAUGAUAAAAUUAAUUUUCAGACUAAUUUAUAUUUUAUUUUAUUGGAUGAUAAAUAUGUUGGAAAUUAUACUUUUAUAUAAUUAAAAUGGUGCUACAAUAAUUAAAAAAUCUAUUUUUUUCUAUAUUUAUUCAUUACAAGAAAAUAGGAUUUAAUAAUUGGCCAACAAGCCUCAUUAAAGAUUUAAUUAACAUUUUCUACAAAUUUUAUUAUUUUUUAUAUAAAUUUUUUACGUAAAAAAUAGUGUUUUGAAGAUUGAAUCAAGUAUUGAAUAAGAAAAAAUUUUAAUGACUUCAUUAGCCUUUCAUUUAAUAAUUCUAUUUUACUUGGACAACUUUGUCUUUUUCUUUACUUUCUUUUUUUUUUUUAUAAAAAAAAUCUAGUUUGAUAUUGAUUAACAAUUGAUUCACUUAACAUUUAUUCUAAGGUCUUGUUCUAAAAAAUGAUAUCAGAAGAUAAAUUUAUAAAUAUAAAAGUUGAAAUUCUUAACAAAAUUAUAUAUAUAUAUAUUAUUUUCAAUUAUCUCCCAUUUGUUGGAUGAUAAUGGGAUUGCUUUGUUGGUAUAGUGGGUUUGGUUGGAGUUAUUGAUUUUGGUGCUAUCUUUUUAUUUUUAAUUUUCCUAUUUGUUGGAUGAUGGUGGGAUUGGUUUGUUGAUAUAGUGGGUUUGAUCGGAGUCAUUGAUUUUAGUGCUAUUUUUUUAUUUCAAUUAUCACAGUGUGUUCACUAAAAUAGUGAUUUAAUUUUGGUCUAUAUUUUCAAUUAUUUCCCUUUUGUUGGAUGAUGGUGGGAUUGGUUUGAUAGUCAAGAUUCCACAAUUCUCUUACAAGUUACAAUUUCAUUCAUUUAAUUUUGGAAAAUGUUAAGUUAUUGUAAUAGUACCUAUCAUGUGAUAGAUCUGAACCGUUAAAUAUAUAUAUGGUAAAAUACAAGUUUCAAUAAAGGUAUAAAUAAAUUAACUAAGAUAUAAAUAUACAAUUAAAUAGAGUUAGACAAUAAACAAAAGAUCAAAAAUUAUAUAUGUAAUACCAUUUAAUUGAUAAUGUAUUUUUGAUAAAUAACAUAAAAAAAAAUACUAUUCAAGUGAUGUAACCAAACACUUUAAUUUUUCUUUACAUUUCUCAUUUGGAUUUUACUUGAUAUUCCCAUAUCCUUUUUUUCUUAAAACAACUUUUUUUUGCUUCUUGCUUAUUAGUAUUUGGUGUUUUUCCAAGGAAGAUAAGAUCUUUAAUAUUUUUCAUUUUUUCUUCAAUCAAACAAUUGUUACACCCAAAGUGGUUAAAAGUGUGACUGCAUGGGACUAUGCAUCUUAAUAUUUAUAUCAAAUUAAAAUCCUUCUGUUAGAAUUAUAUUUUUGUUAACAAGGAGUAUUAUGAAAUGCUUACCACCAAAAUAAAAGUAGAAAUGUUAAAAGUUAAAAUGUUACGUAAAUAUGGGGAUUUUGGCACUAAGAGUUUGUUAUAUUGAUAAGAUAAAGAGAUGCAUGACAUCAAUAACAAGGAGAAAAAUUGGGAAAGUUGAAUUUAGGUUGAUUUUUUCUAUACAAUAUUAAUUUUUAACCCACAUAACCAAAAAUGGAAAAUCGGAGGAAAGAAAAUAAAUGUUAAAUAUAGAUUAAAUUAAUUGACAAAUCAUAACAAAUACCUAAUAAAAUAUAGUAGAAAAGGAGUGUGUUUGAAAAUGAUUUUAAAAAACGUUUAUAAUAUUUCUAAUAUUUGAAUGAUAAAAAUUUUCAAGUUUUAAAAGUAAUACAAAUAUUUCCUAAAUUAGAACUCUUGAAGUUGGAAACACUUUCUUAUCUUUCAUGUGUACAAGUGAUCCUCGCAAGCACAUAAAUAAAAUAUGGUAUAAAAAAAUUAAGUUUUGUGAAAAAAGUAAAGAAUAUGGUCAUUUGGGUUUUAUGUAAUUUUGACCAAUCGAAACAAUCGAAGCCAUCAAAAGUAGAAAACAAAUAGAGCCAAGUCGUUAAUUUUAACCAGCAGCAUAUAACCAUAAGAUCAGAUUCAUGAUCUGAGUAAAUGUUCCGUCAGACUCUGGAGCCAUGUUUGGAACCAACCCUUGAAAGAUUUCAUUAUCUGCCAGCACCAAGUCUCUAGCUAGGUGAUGCAGUGAUACGGUGCAGUAGAUUCUUCCGGCGGUAGAUCGACUGCAAUGGAGCGAAAAGCUUGCUUUAUCUUAAGCAAAGCCCCAUUGCAAUCAUUGAAAAGGCAAUUAACCAUUUCUCUAAUAUAUCCUCACCAUACCAAGCAGAAGAUGCCUGCACAAUCAUAGUGCAAUUGGUACAUGAAGCAAAAAAGAAUUUAAUCUGUCAAAAAAAAAAGAAAGAAAAGAAAAAUCCGAACUGAAUACGAAAUCAAAAAAAUCAAAAUAAGAACCUAUAUAGAAAAUGAAAAACAACUGAAAGAUUCAACAGUUCUAUGAAACAUAGACAAGCUAACAACAAUCAUUCACUUGUAAGCCAUGGCAAACACUGAAAACUAUAGUGAAAUAGAAAAUUAAACCUAAAUAAUAGUAGUAAUAAUAAUAACAAUAAGAAAAACCUACUGUUUGGUUGACAAGAAAAAUUGGAACCAACCAGUGCAAGCAAGCAUAUAGCGAUGCUCUUCUUAGAUUCAAUUCGGUUAAAUAUCAAGUAGUUGGCUUAAAGUUCCACUCCAUAAGACCUUUCACUCUCUCUCUCUUACUCUAUUUUCUCCCCCCGUCUUCACUCCUAAUCAUCCUAAACCAACUGAGCUCCUCCACAACCCAUUGAAAGACACCAAGUUGCACCAGCAACAGAAAUCAUAGCUGCACCAAAACUGUUGAACAACUCAAGAAGCGUGAUAGCAGUUAGGAGUUUGUUUUAGUUUGUUAUUAGGUUAAACUUGUUGAGAUAUUAGGAAUGCUUUUCUUGUAUCAUUCUUUCCUUAUAUCAUUCUUUCCUUGUAUCAUUCUUUCCCAUUCUUAGAAUGGUGAUUAUCCUCUAUAUAUACUCUGUACAUGAACGAAUAAAAGAAUGAAUGAGAUAAAUAAAUAAAAAACACACACCAUUCAUCAAUUUGAAGAUGGUAUCAGAGCCAUGAAACUGAAAUCUUGGAUAUUUUGUCUGUAAGGCCAACCAUUGCUUUCAUAUACAGAUUUGCCAUCCAGAUUCCGAUCUCCGUUACCCAAUUUUCUGAUUCGUUGAUCUUCUGUCCUUCGCUUUUGAUUUCAGAUUUAUUAUUAUUCAUGUGGGACCAUAGUCAUUGGAAUAUCGGAGUGAAAAAAAAAAGAAAGGAAAGAAAAAAAAAAGGAAAAAAAAAUUGAGUGAAAAAAAUACUAUUGUUUUUCAAUCUGAAGGUACGUUUAAUCCAUGAAUUAUUUUGACUGAAUCAAACUAUGACGUUUGGUCACAACUCAUGGAGAUGCAUAUUGCUGAAAGGGAAAAACUUUCCUACAUUCGAGGUAAAACAAAUCCACCAAAAGAGUCAGAAGAUGGAUAUGAAAAAUGGUAUGUUGAGAAUCAAAAGGUGAAGAUAUGGUUGUUAAUGUGCAUGAGUCUAGAAAUUAUGAAGUGUUACUUACGCUUACCCACUGCUCAAGAAAUUUAGAGUGCAUUAUCAAAGGCCUUCUAUGAUGGAAGUGAUGAAUUACAAGUUUUCACUUUGAAUAAAAAAGUCUUCACUGCCAAACAAAGCGGCAGGUCUCUUUCUGAAUAUUAUGGAGAGUUAACUGAGAUUUUUUGCGAAUUGGAUCAUCAGGAUAAGGUAGUCAUGAAAGAUCCUGAUGACAUUGCAGCAUACCAGAAAUCCAUUGAAUGACAACGAGUGCACAUCUUUCUUGCUGGAUUGGAUGGUGACCUUGAGCAAGUUCGAGGAGAGAUUCUACGCAAAGAUCCUCAUCCCUAUUUGGAAUAAUGAUAUGCACUGAUUUGACGAGAGGCAGUGCAUCAUGCUAGUAUGAAAGUAGAAUCUGAAAACCCUGACACCUCAGCUAUGGUAGUCCGACAACGAUCAACCCAGAAUUGGUAGGACCAAUCCAAGACCAAUCAUCCUAAGAUAGGCCCUAAUAUUGAUAAGUUAACCUUCAAAUGCACUCACUACAAUAAGACUGGUCAUACUAAGAGUCGUUGCUUUGAAAUUGUGGGAUAUCCAGAUUGGUGAGAUCAUAAUCAUGAUCAAUAGAAGAAGGAUUUCAAGAAAACCUCGACUACAGUUGUUGUCGAAAUAAAAAGAGAGGCUAAUGCUGUUGAGAAAGUCUUUGCAUUGGUAGCUGCUAUAGAUUAUGGUGGUAAGGUUUUAAAUACUUCCACACUUGUUAUUAAUAGUGCAUGGAUAAUUGAUUCUGGUGCUACAGAUCAUAUGACUUUUGAUUCUAGACAGGUCUCACCCCUUAGACCUUCCUCACAAAAAAUCGUUUCCAUAACCAAUGGUAACACAACCUCAGUCAUUGGGGAAGGAUCCUUAACUCUUACUGAUACUUUGAAUUUGGAUUUUGUUUUAAUUAUUCCACCUUUAGAUUACAAUAUUUUUUCAGUUUCUCAAAUCACUACAACCUUAUCUUGUAUUGUCAUUUUUUGGCCUGAAUUUUGUGUUUUUAAGGACAUCCAAACAAGACAGACCAUUGGUUAUGGUAUUAAAUGGGGAAAACUCUAUUACUUGGAUUUGCAGUCAAAGGAUUCCAAUAAGUUGCGACAAACCUUGAUGGUAGAUGGAUCUGAGGGGAAUGAGAAAAAGUCUGAAAUUUGGUUGUGACAUCGACGUUUGGGACAUGCUUCCUUUGGUUAUUUAAAAAAAUUGUUUCCUAGUUUGUUUGCAAGGAGUGAUAUUUUUGGUUUCCGUUGUGAUAUUUGUGAAUUGGAUAAAAGCCAUCGUACUUCGUUUCUGUUAAUUUUGAAUAAAAGUCUGCUUCCUUUUAUGGUUAUACAUUAUGAUGUUUGGGGCCCAUCCAAAGUCCCAACUUUGAGUGGCUUGCGUUGGUUUGUUAUUUUUAUUGAUGAUUGUACCAGAAUGACCUGAUUAUACUUGAUGAAGACCAAAGAUGAAGUGAACUUGUUGUUUCAAAAUUUCCGUAAAAUAAUUGAAACUCAGAACAAUGCAAAGGUUCGGGUUCUGCGUAGCGAUAAUGGUGGAGAAUAUCAGAUUUUUUAUUUUCAAAAGUAUUUGGAAGGACAUCGCAUCAUUCAUCAGACUACUUGUUCCAAUACAUCCUAGAAAAAUGGAGUCCCUAAACGGAAAAAUCAGCACUUGUUAGAGGUUGUUCAUGUUUCCUUGAUAGCAACAAAAAUGACGAUAUCUAAUUGGGGAGAAGCAAUCACAUCUGUCGCAUACUUGAUUAAUUGAGUAUCUUCCAGCUCAAUUGACUUCCAAACAUCUUUCCAAACUCUUACUAAUGUCGUAGUUACCCCAACUGUCCCAAAUCUACCUCCUCGUGUUUUUGGUUGCGUGGCAUUUGUGCAUCUACACAAACACCAACACACCAAGUUAACUUCCUGUGCAUUGCAAUGUGUGUUUGUUGGAUAUGCAUUACACAAAAAGUGAUAUCGAUGUUACCAUCCUCCAACUCGACGAAUGUUUAUUACAAUGGAUGUGGUGUUUAAUGAAGAUUCGAUGUAUUUUUCAUUUGAGUCUGAACUUCAAGGGGAGUACCAUAAAGAAAUUUAGACUCUCGAUUAUGAUUAUCAUAUCUCGGAAGGGGAUGAAUCCGAAAGAUCUGAACUAGUGAACAAAGAAGCGAGUGAAUUGGAUAUGAGUGGUACAACUCUAGAACCAAGUAGUAAUGAAGCUCCCGUGUCAGGAUGGAGAUUUCCAAGCCAUAAAUGUAAGUAGCUGAGCGUCAUAAAUGUUUUCAUUCAAAGUAAAGCUUUUAAUCGCUCUGACUUGCUUUGAAUGGCCAAUACUUGAUAACCUUUUGGUCUCAGUGGAUUCUUAUUGUUAGAUCCACUGAUGUUCAUUAGUUAUCUCCUACGAGCCAUUAUAUUGCAAGUCGAGGAGAUGACCUAUACCAAUAAAAGAGCAUUUAUGAGGUUCAGCUACCCUUUUUGUAAGUUUUCAAGGACUAAAACUCAGUUGUUAAACUCAUACCGGUUCGGGAAGUAAGCAUCACCUUAGUUACUUCCCCAACUCGAGGUGAAAAGUCCUAAAAUCUCCAUUUUUACACAGUGAGUUAAGCAUGGCUAUCCAAAGCUUUGAGAAAUUUCUUUUUCCAUCUUUUAACCUAUUUUCAUGUUAGUUUAGUUUACAACACCUUCAUCUUUUUAUGUUUUCAUCUUAACCUAAUUUUUAUUAAGAAAAGUUCACUCCAUCCUCUGAACUUCACCAGUUAAAGUAAAAACCCUUCCCAGUGUUCGAUCCUAGAGCCACUAUGCUAUAGUAGCUUUGCUACUUUAGUGUAAGGACCUUAGGUAUAAAUUUUGUUGAUACCCUUACAUGCCAAGCUACCAAGAGUCGGGUUAUCAAAUGGCGCCGUUGCCGGGGACAGUUGCCGGGGAAGGUGCUACUUCACUGUGAAUACAUUAGCCGGAGGUAACUUGUGAGACUUCUCAUGAGUGAGGUGAAUUCUAUCUCAUUUUUCAUUUACUAACUUUUUAUUUUAGUUUUAGAACAUUUUUAACUUAGUUUAGAUAAGUUUCUUUUAGCUUUUAACUUUCAUUUUUAGUUUAUUUUUCAUACUCUGUUUUUCCUUCCGCAUGCUCUGUUUUUUUUUUCUUUUUCUUUGUUUUAUUUAUUUGUUUUGUUCCAGCUGAAUCCGUGCAUGCCCUAUUGGAUUAGAGACCAAGAGGGAAGGUUAGUGCGGAUAGAGACUCCACGAGCUACUGAAUUAGAGAUUAUUUUGGAAGUCAUGGAGAAUCAGCCAGAGGAUCAACAUUCACAACACGGGCAGGAGAAUGAUCCGAACUUGUAUAGGUCCAUGAGGGACAGGAUGCACCCUCCGAGGAUGAGUGCACUAUCUUGCAUCAUUCCUCCUACAGAGCAAUUGAUUAUCAGGCCACACAUCGUGCCUCUGCUUCCUACUUUCCAUGGGAUGGAAAGUGAAAAUCCAUAUGCGCACAUAAAGGAAUUCGAAGAUGUGUGCAAUACUUUUCAAGAAGGGGGAACAACUAUUGAGCUUAUGAGGUUGAAGCUCUUUCCAUUCACAUUAAAGGACAAAGCCAAGAUAUGGCUCAAUUCCUUGAGACCGAGAAGCAUAAGAACAUGGACAGAACUUCAAGCUGAUUUUUUGAAGAAGUUUUUCCCUACUCAUAGAACAAAUGGAUUGAAGAGACAAAUCUCCAACUUCUCAGCACGUGAGAAUGAAAAAUUUUAUGAAUGCUGGGAGAGGUAUAUGGAGGCCAUCAAUGCAUGUCCUCACCACGACUUUGAUACAUGGCUUUUGGUGAGCUAUUUUUAUGAUGGCAUGUCAUCUUCAAUGAAGCAGAUAUUGGAGACAAUGUGUGGGGGUGAUUUCAUGAGCAGAACCCUGAGAGCUAUGGAUUUCCUAAGUUAUGUCUCAGAGGUUUCCCGNNNNNNNNNNNNNNNNNNNNNNNNNNNNNNNNNNNNNNNNNNNNNNNNNNNNNNNNNNNNNNNNNNNNNNNNNNNNNNNNNNNNNNNNNNNNNNNNNNNNNNNNNNNNNNNNNNNNNCCAUAUCAGUCACCAGCCCAAUUCAAGCCAACAAAGUCAAGGUCAAUCCUCAGUUGAGCAAGCACUCAUAAGCCUUAGCAAGGUUAUGGGAGACUUUGUGAGUGAGCAAAAAUCCAUCAACUCUCAACUAAAUCAGAAGAUUGACAACGUAGAGAGUACAUUGAACAAGAAGAUAGAUGGGAUGCAUAAUGAGUUGUCUAAGAAAAUUGACAACAUCCAAUAUUCCAUCUCAAGGCUCACAAAUUUGAACACUGUCAAUGAGAAAGGGAAGUUUCCCUCUUAGCCUCACCAAAAUCCUAAGGGGAUACAUGAAGUGGAAUCCAAAGAUGAGGAUUCUUCAAAGGUGAGGGACGUGCAAGCUAUUAUCACUUUGAGAAGUGGUAAGGAAGUGCAUCAGCCGAAGCAUGAUCAGAGGAAAGCCAAAGAAGACAAGGCUGAUAGAAAAGAAGAAAAGAAGAAAGAACAAAAGGGAAAGGAAAUUCAGAUGAAAGAAAGCAUCAUUCCUAGCAUGGAUGAGGAACUUCAAAUUCUUUUAAAGGAAGGCAUGAUGAAGAAACACAUGCCUCCUCCAUUUCCUCAAGCCUUGCGUGGGAAGAAACCGAUCAAGAAUGCUUCUGAGAUUCUUGAUGUGCUAAGACAAGUGAAGGUGAAUAUUCCUUUACUUGAUAUGAUCAAGCAACUACCCACAUAUGCAAAGUUUUUGAAGGACUUGUGCACUGUGAAAAGAGGACUCAAUGUUACAAAGCAAGCCUUCCUACUUGAGAAAGUGAGUGCUAUAAUCCAAUGCAAGUCUCCAAUCAAAUACAAAGAUCCGGGGUGUCCUACAAUCUCAGUCAAUAGUGGAGGAACCCAAGUGGAGAAGGCAUUGCUUGAUUUGGGGGCAAGUGUUAACUUGCUUCCAUACUUUGUAUACAAGGAGCUGGGGUUGGGAGAACUCAAGCCAACAUCGAUCACCCUAUCCUUAGCUGAUUGAUCAAUGAAAAUCCCCAGGGGGGUAAUAGAAGAUGUAUUGGUUCAAGUUGACAAAUUCUACUAUCCAGUAGAUUUUGUGGUGCUUGAUACGAAUCCUAUUGUCAAAAGGAUCAACUAUGUUCCAAUCAUCCUUGGAAGACCAUUCCUUGCAACAUCCAAUGCAAUCAUCAAUUGUAGGAAUGGGGUCAUGCAACUCACUUUUGGGAAUAUGACAUUGGAACUCAACAUCUUCCAUCUAUGUCAAAAGCCCAUCCAUCCUGAAGAAGAUGAGGGCCCAGAAGAAGUGUGUAUGAUAGAUACCCUGGUGGAGGAGCAUUGUAAUCAGAGUAUGCUUGAUCAGUUUGAAGAGAAUCCAGAUGAAAGCCAUGAAGAUCUUGAUGAUGGGUUAGUUGAACCCAUGAGAAUGAAUGUCGUUAUGUCAAACUGGAGACAAAAGCCAGUGAUCCUCCCUUUGUUCAAGGAUGAGGAAGAGAUAAAAGAAGCUAAGGAUGCAAUCCUUAAGCUUGAAUUGAAGACCCUUCCUGCCGAGUUGAGUAUGCUUACUUGGAGGAACGCAAUAAAGCCCCGGUGGUAAUUUCUUCUUCUUUAACCGUUUCACAAGAGGACAAUCUUCUAAGAAUCCUUAGAAAGCAUAAGAAGGCCAUCGAAUGGCAAAUUUCUGAUUUGAAGGGGAUAAGCCCAUUGAUUUGCAAGCACCAUAUUUAUAUGGAGGAGGGAGCUAAGCCAACUCGUCAGCCACAGAGGAGAUUGAAUCCUCAUAUGCAAGAGGUAGUAAGGGCUGAAUUGUUGAAGCUUCUUCAAGCGCGCAUCAUUUACCCCAUUUCAGAUAGCACUUGGGUGAGUCCAACCCAAGUUGUUCCAAAGAAGUCCGGGAUAACCGUAGUCAAUGGGGAAAAUGGAGAUGAAGUGUCCACACGCCUCACAACUGGUUGGAGGGUGUGCAUUGACUACAGGAAGCUGAAUACAGUAACGAGAAAGGAUCACUUCCCUUUACCUUUCAUGGAUCAAGUCCUUGAGAGAGUAUCUGGGCAUCCUUUUUAUUGCUUCUUGGAUGGGUAUUCCGGGUAUUUUCAAAUAGAGAUUGAUGUGGAGGACCAGGAGAAGACUACCUUCACUUGUCCAUUCGGCACCUAUGCUUAUAGGCGGAUACCUUUUGGAUUAUGCAACGCUUCUGCUACCUUCCAAAGAUGCAUGCUUAGCAUCUUUAGUGACAUGGUUGAAUGAAUCAUGGAAGUCUUCAUGGAUGACAUAACUGUGUAUGGGACUUCUUUUGAGGAUUGUUUGUCACAUCUUGAAGAUGUUUUGAAAAGAUGCAUAGAGAAAGACCUCGUACUCAAUUGGGAGAAGUGCCAUUUUAUGGUAAAUCAAGGUAUUGUUCUUAGGCACGUAAUCUCAAAGAAGGGUAUAGAGGUAGAUAGAGCUAAGGUGGAACUAAUUGUGAAGUUGCCACCUCCCACCAAUGUAAAAGGAAUAAGGCAAUUCCUUGGGCAUGUCGGGUUCUAUAGGAGGUUUAUAAAGGAUUUUCCAAGAUUGCCAAACCUCUUUGUGAAUUAUUGGUGAAGGAUGCCAAGUUUGAGUGGGAUGAUAAAUGUCAAAGGAGUUUUGAGCUUCUUAAGCAAUUCUUGACAUCAGCGCCCAUUGUGAGAGCACCAAAUUGGGAGUUGCCAUUUGAAGUGAUGUGUGACUCAAGUGAUUAUGCCAUUGGGGCUGUUUUGGGACAAAGAGAAGAUGGUAAACCUUAUGUGAUCUACUAUGCAAGCAAGUCUUUGAAUGAUGCUCAAAGGAAUUACACCACCACUGAGAAGGAAUUACUUGCUGUGGUGUAUGCUUUGGAUAAGUUCAGAGCUUAUUUGAUAGGGUCUUCCAUUAUGGUAUUCACGGAUCAUUCAGCUUUGAAGUAUUUGCUAACCAAGCAAGAUGCCAAGGCUAGGUUGAUUAGGUGGAUACUUUUGCUUCAAGAGUUCAACCUCCAGAUCAGAGAUAAGAAAGGUGUUGAGAAUGUGGUAGCUGACCACUUGUCAAGGCUCAACAUCGCUCAUGACACCCAUGGACUUCCCAUAAAUGAUGAUUUCCCUGAGGAAUCCUUGAUGCUUGUGGAGGAAGUGCCAUGGUUUGCACACAUUGCCAAUUACUUGGUCACGGGAGAAAUACCAAGUGAAUGGAGCUCUAAGGACAAGAAGAAUUUCUUUGCCAAGGUCCAUGCAUAUUAUUGGGAGGAGCCUUUUCUCUUCAAGUAUUGUGCGGACCAAAUUAUAAGGAAGUGUGUGCCUGAACAAGAGAAGCAUGGGAUCCUAUCUCAUUGCCAUGGGAAUGCAUGUGGAGGCCACUUUGCCUCUCAAAAGACGGCAAUGAGAGUUCUUCAAUCGGGCUUUUGGUGGCCCUCACUUUUUAAGGAUGCCCAUGAGGUAAGUAAAGGAUGUGAUAAGUGCCAAAGACUAGGCAAGAUUUCAAGGAGAAACAUGAUGCCUUUGAACCCCAUCUUGAUAGUGGAUCUUUUUUAUGUUUGGGGCAUAGACUUCAUGGGACCUUUCCCUAUGUCUUUUGGCCACUCCUACAUCUUGGUAGGAGUUGAUUAUGUUUCAAAGUGGGUUGAAGCUAUACCCUGUAGAACCAAUUAUCACAAAGUGGUUCUCAAGUUCCUAAAAGAAAACAUCUUCUCGAGGUUUAGAGUGCCUAAAGCAAUCAUCAGUGAUGGAGGCACUCACUUUUGCAACAAGCCCUUUGAAGCUCUUUUGGCCAAGUACGGAAUUAAGCAUAAGGUAGCUACACCUUAUCAUCCUCAGACAAGUGGCCAAGUAGAGCUAGCCAACCGGGAAAUUAAGAACAUCUUGAUGAAGGUGGUGAACACCAAUAGGAAAGAUUGGUCUGUUAAGCUCCUUGAUUCCCUAUGGGCGUAUAGGACGGCUUAUAAGACUAUCCUUGGGAUGUCACCGUACCGUCUUGUUUAUGGCAAAGCUUGCCAUCUUCCCGUUGAGAUUGAGUUCAAGGCAUGGUGGGCCAUUAAAAAGCUCAACAUGGAUUUAACUAAGGCUGGGCUAAAGAGGAGUUUGGAUUUGAAUGAGCUCGAGGAAUUGAGAAAUGAUGCCUAUCUCAACUCAAAAAUAGCUAAGGAAAAGCUAAAGAGAUGGCAUGAUCAGUUGGUGACCAAGAAAGAAUUUUUCAAGGGACAAAGAGUCUUGCUAUAUGACUCUAAGCUUCACCUAUUUUCGGGAAAGCUCAAAUCAAGGUGGGUAGGGCCUUUUGUCAUCCACCAAGUACACUCACAUGGAGUAAUUGAGUUACUCAACUCAAAAAGUGCAAAGACCUUCAAGGUAAAUGGGCAAAGACUCAAGCCCUACAUCGAGCCAUUUUCCCGUGACAAGGAGGUACUCAUCCUCCAUGACCCAUCACAUCCUUGAGAAAGUGUGGUAAGUUGAUGAGCUUAGCAUGAAAAGCUAAGUGCUCAUCUCUUUUUGUUUUAAUUUUAGUAUUACAUUCUUGUUUACUUUGCAUUUUUAAUACUUUUGCACAUAUGUUGUUUAGGUUUCUUAGUUUUGAUUUUGAUUUUUUAUGUUUUUAAUGGAGCUUUGAUGUCCAAUAGCAGGUACGAAAGCUCAUAAGCUCACAAAUGUGGAGAGAAAGGUGAAAUAGGGGAGAAAUAUAUCUAAGUCCAAGCUUAAAAGCCCAUUUCGCAACUCAAAAAGUGAGUUGCGAAAAUUUGGCAAGGUGAAUUUCACCUUGCGAAAUGCACAUUUUGGCAAGAUGCAAUUUACAACCUCUCGGGAUUGCACUUUCGCAAGGAGUAACCAGUGCGAAAAUUUUCGCAAGGAGUAACCAGUGCGAAAAUUUUCGCAAGUCAUUUUUCACCUUGCGAAAUUGUUUUCAAAGCAAAUAUCAAAAUGAAACCUCUCGGGACUGGUUUUUAAGGGGAGUAGCUAAUGCGAAAAUUUGGCAAGGUGAAUUUUCACCUUGCGAAAUUUUUUCUUCAUACUUACCAAGGAUUUGAUUCUUUUUAAAUUCAUUUUCAAACUUCAAUUUUGUAGUUUUAACACUCCUGAUUAGCUUUUGAGUAUAGUAUGGAUAACUAUCAUCUCCCCCCAACCUAAGUCUUUCUUUAAGCUUAACAAAAUUAACCAUCUCUUGAUAGGCUAGGAACGCACCUCUUAUUCACAAUUCUUUUCACUUACUAAACUUAACCAAUUCACCCAUGUAACAAGCAGAGGAUCGGUGACUCCCAACCAAUAAAGGCUUAGGGCACCAGGCUUUAAAGGCUUUCGCCACCCCUUCGGACCAUGCUUAGGUUUCAAGGCAAGCAAAGAAGUUUAUGCUAUUAUUAUUAUUUUUUUUUCUUUUUCUAUUUUUACAAAGACUCAUUGGUCUUUAUGAGGUGUCCCAACACUAUUAAAGAGAGGUUAAAGGUGUCAAAUUAUGAUUUCUCAAGCUUAGAGGGUGAGAUAGUUUCACAUCUUAUAACUGGAAUCUAAUGUAUGUGUGUGCGAAUAGCUUAAGUGGAAGAGAUAAGUUUGCAUGCAAUGGGAGUUUCAACAAUUCAUCAGCUUUNNNNNNNNNNNNNNNNNNNNNNNNNNNNNNNNNNNNNNNNNNNNNNNNNNNNNNNNNNNNNNNNNNNNNNNNNNNNNNNNNNNNNNNNNNNNNNNNNNNNNNNNNNNNNNNNNNNNNNNNNNNNNNNNNNNNNNNNNNNNNNNNNNNNNNNNNNNNNNNNNNNNNNNNNNNNNNNNNNNNNNNNNNNNNNNNNNNNNNNNNNNNNNNNNNNNNNNNNNNNNNNNNNNNNNNNNNNNNNNNNNNNNNNNNNNNNNNNNNNNNNNNNNNNNNNNNNNNNNNNNNNNNNNNNNNNNNNNNNNNNNNNNNNNNNNNNNNNNNNNNNNNNNNNNNNNNNNNNNNNNNNNNNNNNNNNNNNNNNNNNNNNNNNNNNNNNNNNNNNNNNNNNNNNNNNNNNNNNNNNNNNNNNNNNNNNNNNNNNNNNNNNNNNNNNNNNNNNNNNNNNNNNNNNNNNNNNNNNNNNNNNNNNNNNNNNNNNNNNNNNNNNNNNNNNNNNNNNNNNNNNNNNNNNNNNNNNNNNNNNNNNNNNNNNNNNNNNNNNNNNNNNNNNNNNNNNNNNNNNNNNNNNNNNNNNNNNNNNNNNNNNNNNNNNNNNNNNNNNNNNNNNNNNNNNNNNNNNNNNNNNNNNNNNNNNNNNNNNNNNNNNNNNNNNNNNNNNNNNNNNNNNNNNNNNNNNNNNNNNNNNNNNNNNNNNNNNNNNNNNNNNNNNNNNNNNNNNNNNNNNNNNNNNNNNNNNNNNNNNNNNNNNNNNNNNNNNNNNNNNNNNNNNNNNNNNNNNNNNGAAUUUAAAUGAAGCUGAUAGCAUGUACCCCAAAAAGAAGAUGAACUAUUUAGCUCAUCCUCCACUCACACACCCUACUUCAUGCUGAAUUCCCCCUGGAUCCCAAACAAAAUUGGCAUCCUUUCCCAUUUGGUCCAAGGGAAUUCGUUUCUCUUCUCUUCCCUGGAGAAGUGGAUGCUUUAAAGGGUUCAGGUAACCCUUUAUCAUCUUGAACCUUAUGAUUUUCAAUGGAAGGUUGGUCCAUAGAGUUGUCAUAGCAAUCCCCUACCAAAGUGUCGAUCUUUAAUACUUUCCUUAAUCUUUUUGCAUUGGUUCCUUGAAGGUUAUGGUGGGGUUGAGGAGGAAGCUUCCUUUUCCCCCUUGCUAUGUCGAGAUUGGUGAGUUUCUCAAUGGAGUCUUGAACUUUUUCUAUCCUUAGUGAUAGAUCAUUAUAAACCCCCUCCAUUCUUACAUUUAUUGAACUCUCCAAAUUAUCAAUCUUUUCAUUAAGAUGAGAGUUGAUCUUUUGUUGUUCACCUACAAAGUCCUCCAUGACUUUGCUUAUCUUCAAAAUGGCUUGCUCCAAUGAAGAUGUACUCAUUGAUGGUUGAGGUUGAGGUUGGGUUGUAAGGUUUUGAUGGUUAUUCCAACUUGAGGUGUAGGAGCUUUGGUAACCGUACAUGUCUCUCACAAUUGGAAUGGUAGGGCACUCCCCUACCGUAUGCUCAUAUGAAUCAUCUCCAUUCAAAGCAUACUUACUACCCCAUUGGCUUUGUUGAACUUGCCUUUUCCCUAAUUCAAUCCGAUCCCUCAUGGAUAGGUAUGCGAAUUUGUCCUUCUCAUAAUCAUAAUGAGAGCUUUGAUCUUCAUGUGGAAUUUCCAUUUCUAAAAAAAAUGAUAUUCAACUAAGGCUCUUUUCUUCAACUUGUACCAGGGUUCCCUCUUGGUCUCGAAUCCAACAAGGAAUGCACAAAUUGAAAUUAAAACAAAAAUAAAAGAAAAGAGAAUAAAAAAAAAUUAACUAAAUAAAAACUAAACUAAAAAAAAUUAUAAGAAAACUCACCAAACUUGUGAUGAAGAUCACAAGUUACCCUUAAUGGUUGCUUCACUGUGCUUGUGGCACUUUCCCCGGCAACGGCGCCAUUUGAUUCGACUCAUGGUAGCUUAGCUUUAAAGGAGUAUCAAUAAAAUUUAUACCUUAAAUACUAUUACUAAAGUAGCCAAGCUACUAUAGCAUAGUGGUUCUAGGAUCGUUCACUGGGAAGGGUUUUCGUAAACACUAGUGAUAUUCAAAUUAGGAAAAUAUGUGAUUUUCUUAUGGAUGUUAGCUUUAAAAGAAAGUGUAAAUGUUUUAGAAAGAUUUAAACUAAUCUAAGCUAACAUUAAAGACUAAAAUGAAAGGGUGUAAAAACAAGUUUCUCAAAGAUAGGAUAGCUAUGCUCUGGCUCUUAUGCAAAUUGGAAAUCUCAGGAUAGGCUCCUCGCGUUGGGGUUGCAACUAUGGUGAUGCUUGCUUCCCGAACCGGUAUGGAUUUAGCAAAUCAAGUUUUAAUCCUUUAAAAUGGCAAAACAGAUGGUAGUGAAUUUCAUCAAUGGUUAUUCACCUUAGACUUCUUUUGAAUGACUCGUAAGAGAUAACUAAUGGUCUAAAGCUAAAAGUUUACCAAAUAUUGGCAACUCAAAGUCAUUCCAGGUGAUAAACUCACCUUUCAAUGGCCAUUGAAAUUGGUUCUAACGGAUUAAUGCAAAACUUGGAAUUGAAAACCUCACCUUCCAAUAGCUCGUAGGAGAUAACUAAUGGAUAGAAAUCCAAAAGCUUAUCAAGUAUUGGCCGUUGGAAGUUGUCCAAAGGAAAUAAAAACCAAACUUUGCAUUAAUGAACCUUUAAUGAAAAACGACUACCUUACCUUCCAGGUGCGAGAAAUUUCCAUGGGAUUGCAUCCAAGUCAUCACAUAACAUCCAUACUUCGAGAAACUAAAAGUUUUAGCCAAUCAUCCUCUGAGGAAAAGCCCUCAGAGGCUGUUUGGCUACUAAGAAAAUAGAAAUGGGGAAGAACAGGAGAAGAGAGAAAAACAGAGCAAGGCUCCGUCUCUGUAUAUCCGUCUAUAUAUGUGUAUAUUUUACAAUGGAUGCACGGGAAUAUAAAUAGAGAAGUUUUUUCCAACCUUCCUAGCUAAGAAAUCUUAUGAUUGGUGGAUUACAAGGAGAAGAAUGGAAAUUUAUACAAAAAUAUCUAAAAGAAAAUAUCUCGCGUGGAGUCGGCAAAACAGAGGAAAAUUCGCACCACGCAUGGGCUGUGCGAAUUUUGAAGGUGUUGUGCGAGUGUUGUGCAAGUUUCGCACAAGCUUCGCACAAGAUGAAGGUGUUGUGCGAGUGUUGUGCGAGUUUCGCACAAGCUGAAGGUGUUGUGCGAAUUUCGCACAAGCUGAAGGUGUUGUGCGAAUUUCGCACAAGCUGAAGGUGUUGUGCGAAUUUCGCACAAGCCUGGAGCAGUUGUCUUCCAAAGGCCAUAUCUUCCUCAUUUCAGCUCCAAAUUGUAUACGGUUUAAAGCGUUGGAUUCUUGACUUCCUGAGCUUUGAAAUGGUAUAUAGCAUGUAGAAAAUGGACUUUGGAAAGUGCUCCAAAAGUGCAAAGGAAGACUGCAGCUGCUGUCAUCUAUUUUCUUCACUUUCUCUUUGCUUCUCUUUGCUUCUUUCCUUUGCUUGGCUUGUCUUAAUGAUCCAAAAAGCUGUCAAAACACUAAAACUAGCCACAAAUAUGAUUAGAAGUCAUUGCUAGGUCCUUAACAUGCCAAUUGGAAUAAAGAUGGAGAAUUACUACACAAAAGUGCUUAAAAGAUAUUGAAUUAAAGGUAUAAAAUAGCACUUUUUGGGUAGUAAUCAACUCCUCAGUUCAUCCCCGUACUUAGACAAAUUUUCAAAAAAAAUUUCAUGGCCAAAAACCCUUUUUAAAGCCUUCUCAACUUCAUUUUUCAUGCAUAAAAUACUAUUCCCCUUGCAUUUCCUCUCUAGGCCGCGUGCUUCAUUGUUUCAAGGUGAGUAAUUUUUCAUUUUUCUCCAUUUUUGGCUCCUUAAAUUGCUUGUUUAUGUCAUUUCUAUGUUUUAGGAACCAUAAACAUGCAUUUUCAUCCAUUAAAACCAUUUCAAAAAUCCAUUUUUUCAAAUCAAAGACCCAUAUGGCCGGCCACCAUUUUUGCAAAAAUCUCUAUCUUGCAAUGUGUUUUAGGCUCCCAAACUUACUCCAUUGCGUUUAGAAUCAUGUUUCCAUUAAAACCAUACCCUUUUUCUGAAUUUUAAACCGUUAAAAAUGAAAACUCAAAUUCAAAGUAAGCAUUGGAGAAGAAGAUGAAUAGUGCAUGUGAAUAGUGCUGCGUGAAUAGUGCCCGUUGCCAAAUUUAGCAACCACUAUUCAUGCCUUGCAAAUUUUGCACUGGUUACCAUUUCAACUGUAUUUUUGACACUUUACCCCUGGGAUGCUCUAUUUUUCGUGUUUUUCAGUCUUAUUUCAGUAUUUAUACCAUGGCACGGACACGGGGGACAUCCUCUUCAGCUAGUCAGCGUGGGGCCCACUCACAGAAAGGUGGUCAUUCUACACCAUAUCAGCCUGCCCAGACCCCAGUUCCCUCUACUCAGCACGGGUUCGAGACCAGACGAUCAUCUGGGUCUUCCAUGGCACCAAUGCCACCCCCUGUGAGCAGUCCUCCACCUAAGAGGACUAGGAUUUCAGGACUAGGCGAGUCCUCCAGAGCCCCUCCAUCACCUCCAGCAUCUACUAUCCCAGGCUCUUCACACCUAGCAGAGGUCCUCAAGCGGCCUAUGAUAGCAGGUCCACCCCUACCAGGCAACACGGAUAUCAGAGAUAGGCCAUUUCACGAUGAGAUCUGUAUGGAGCAUGAGACUCUCCGCCUAUUACCAGAGCUAGAGGAGUCAUACCGCCUUCUGCAGAGGUACCACAUCGAGCCAUUUAUGACUCCUAGGUCCUUCUAUUACCCUAGGGUAGUCUUAGAUUUCUACCAGACUAUGACUACUAGAGGCGUUCAGGACCCCAUAGCCAUUCAUUUUUUGAUUGAUGGCCAGCAUGGUAUUUUAGAGGCCCGAGAUAUAGCCGCCGCUAUGCAUUUUCCGCCUAUCCCUGAGGACCUUGGUUCCUUCCGGCAUUGGUCUCAGUAUUCAGAGCCCGACAUGGUGUCUACCUUAUCAGGAGGUAGAGUCACUGGUAGGACCAUUUUGAAGAGGGAGCUUCCUCCACGGAUGUUACUUAUCGAUUUGGUGCUCCGCACCAAUCUUUUUCCACUCCAGCAUGUCGUCCAGAGGAGAGGUGCUAUCCUAGAUGCACUUUACCGCAUCUCUGAGGGAUUCUACUUUGGACCCCACCAUCUAGUCAUGACUGCUCUUACCUAUUUUGAGGAAAAGGUGCAUAGGAAGCGCCUACGCAGAGCUGGUACUAUUCCACUCUUAUUUCCGAGGCUGAUCUCUCAGGUCUUAGAGGAUAUGGGAUACCCUUCUCAGCCCCACCUAGAGCGUCGUCAUCAUUGUCGAGAGCUCUUUACCAGUGAGAGUUGGACCCAUUUCUUAGACCGCUCACCCAUGGACCAGGGUAUCCCUAGACCAUUAGCUCCCGCGCCUCCAGCUUCUCCAGCACCUCCCGAUUCUCCAGCAGCUCCCGAUUCUCCAGCAGCCUCAGCACCUACAGUACAAACAUCACCAGAGCAGGACCCACAUACCACAGAGUCUUCUUCUUCAGUACCUGUUCCAGUGACUUGCAUUACUGAUACUCCCACCCCACCAGUCACUCCUGCUCCAGCCUAUGCUGAGUCUUUAGCCGGGCCAUCCAUCACUGUCUCCGCUAUAGAGUUCAGAGCUCUCAUGUCGUCCUUUCACUCAUUGAGCGCCUCUCAGGCCACCUUAGUCCGUGAGAUGCAGGCCAUCAGACGAUAGAUGGAUACCAUACAGACACAUCAGGCUCAGCAUAUAGCUAUUCAGGCUCAGCAUACAGCUAUCCUGGACCAGCACUCCGCCAUACUCUCUCAGAUCCACCAUCACCUGGGCAUAUCACCUCUUCCACCUCAGGAGCCACAUCCAUGAUUGGAUAUUUCUAUCUCCAUUUUGUAUAUGUUUUUUGUAUAUGAUACAUGUUAUAUCAUUCAUUCCUCAUCUUUUUCGAUAGAAACAUUGGGGACAAUGUUCAUCUCGGUUGGGGGGAGAGUUGAGCAAGUAAGUAUUUCCUAUUUUAGUUAGUUAUUUUGUUGAUUUAGUAGUUUUUGACCUUUUUCAAAAUUUUUUGUUUCAUUCUCUAUGGUUGUUAAAGAUAAUUUCUCAAAAUAAAAUAGGAUAAGUCGAGUUUUAACUUAAUUACUUAAGUCUUAGAGUUUGUUUUAUGCUUUCAAAGUUGAUAAUCUAUUGAAGCCCUCUUUGAUUUCGAACUUAUUUCUUCCAUUUCAAGCUUUACACACACCGUGCACAUUAGAUCCUGGAUAUAUGAUGUAAAACUUUCUCACCCUCUAAGCUUAGGAAAAUUUUGACUUGGUUCAUUACUUAAUCUCUUUUUAAUAGUGCUGGGACACCUCAAAAAGACCAAUGAGUCUUAAAAAAAAAAAAAAAAAAAAAAAAAGCUUCUACUCUUUCCUUGAAACCUAAGCAUGAUCCGAAGGGGUGGCGAAAGCCUUUAAAACCCAAUGCCCUAAACCUUGAUUGGUUGGGAGUCAUCGAUCCUCUGCUUGCUACAUAGGUGAAUUGGUUAAGUUUAGUGAGUAAAAAGAAUUGUGAAUAAGAAGGUGCGUUCCUAGCCUAUUAAUAGUUGGUUAAUUUUGCCAAAGUUCGAGAAAAGCUUAGGUUGGGGGGAGAGGAUAGUUGUACAUACUAUAUCCGGAAGCUAAUCUCAUUAACACUUAGCUCAUUAUGGAAGAGUUUGAUCCGGAACCUUGAGAGUAGAGAUUCUUUUGAUACUUAAUUGCAUAAUCUCCACUCUUUGUACUUUUUGUUUAAGUUUUAGCUUUGACAACUCCUAUUGCAUUUUGAAUCUUCAUAUCUUUAGUUCACCAUGUGAGAUGUGUUUUGAUAUCAGUCAUGCCACUCAAUUAUUUUUUGGAGUGAUUUGCAUGACCUCUUUUAUGUAUAUUAUUAUGUUUGCUUAGUUUUUAUCUCCUCCAUUGCUAAGGGACUAGCAAUGAGUCGGUUGGGGGGUAUGAUUACUACAGAAAAGUGCUAUUUUGUAGACCUAAUUAUAAGGGUUUUAAGCACCUUUGAGUAGUAAUCAUAUUCAUUUAACCUAAUUAAUUCAUUAAGCUCUUUAGUAAUUAGUUCUAACCAUUUUUAGUGGCAAGUUUACAUGUUUUUCAUCAGCUUAUGAACCAAUUCAAGCAUGCCAAUUGAUGGAGGAGCUACUUGGGCGAGUUAAGCAAGGAUUUUGGACGUUUACAGGCUUGAAUUUCAAGUGGAAACAUGAGCACAAGCAAUGGGAACACCAUUUCGCAAGGGGAGGCAAUUCACUUGCCAAAUGACCAAUUUCGCAAGGUGAAUUUCACCUUGCCAAAAUUUCGCAAGGGGAUUUUCCUCAUGGUGCGAAAUUUGGCCAUUUCGCACCAUGAAGAAAACCACCUUGCGAAAUUUCGCAAGGUGGAUUUAGGCACCUUGCGAAAUGCCAAAUUUCGCAAGGUGGCUUUUCACCUUGCGAAAUUUGGACCUUUCAUCUUCCCCCCUUGCGAAAUGCCUUUGAAAUCUCCUGUUUUGAGACGCUGUUGAUGAUAUUCCACUGCCGGUUCUCCAAGAUAUUUUGCUUGACUUUUAGCUUUGUAAAUACCUAUUUUACCCUUGUAAUCAACCAAUGAAAAGGUUGCUUUUGUAAUAACUCUUGUAAUUUAGCUUUUUAUUGUCUUUAAAUAAAGGUGAAGAGCCUCAGACACGAUCAUCUUGUAACCUGUAACUUUAUAAGUUAUAAGAGCACUUUUGUUCAUACGCUUCUUUUAUCUUUUUCUUUCUCAUUUUCUUAGUAGCCAAACAUCCUUGGAGGAUGAAAUCCCCAAGGAUGAGAGGCAAAAACCUUUUAGUUUCUUGAAGUAAUGGAUGCCAUGUGAAGCUCCCAUGUCAGGAUGGAGAUUUCCAAGCCAUAAAUGUAAGUAGCUGAGCGUCAUAAAUGUUUUCAUUCAAAGUAAAGCUUUUAAUCCCUCUGACUUGCUUUGAAUGGCCAAUACUUGAUAACCUUUUGGUCUCAGUGGAUUCUUAUUUUUAGAUCCACUAAUGUUCAUUAGUUAUCUCCUACGAGCCAUUGUAUUGCAAGUCGAGGAGAUGACCUAUACCAAUAAAAGAGCAUUUAUGAGGUUCAGCUACCCUUUUUGUAAGUUUUCAAGGACUAAAACUCAGUUGUUAAACUCAUACCGGUUCGGGAAGUAAGCAUCACCUUAGUUACUUCCCCAACUCGAGGUGAAAAGUCCUAAAAUCUCCAUUUUUACACAGUGAGUUAAGCAUGGCUAUCCAAAGCUUUGAGAAACUUCUUUUUCCAUCUUUUAACCUAUUUUCAUGUUAGUUUAGUUUACAACACCUUCAUCUUUUUAUGUUUUCAUCUUAACCUAAUUUUUAUUAAGAAAAGUUCACUCCAUCCUCCGAACUUCACCAGUUAAAGUAAAAACCCUUCCCAGUGUUCGAUCCUAGAGCCACUAUGCUAUAGUAGCUUUGCUACUUUAGUGUAAGGACCUUAGGUAUAAAUUUUGUUGAUACCCUUACAUGCCAAGCUACUAAGAGUCGGGUUAUCAAUAGGUUACCAAUCUAGGCAACCAAUCCAAUUGUUUUGUGACAAUAAAGCCACAUGUGGCAUUGCUCAUAAUCCAGUACAACAUGAUCGUACAAAGCAUGUCGAGGUGGACAGAUUCUUCAUUAAGGAGAAGUUGGAUGAUAAGAUUGUGGAAUUGCCUAAGAUUCGAUCAGAAGAUCAAUUAGCCGAUAUCCUCACCAAAGUUGUCUCAAGUCAAGUGUUCUCAAAAAUUUUAGAGAAGUUGGGCAUGUGUGACAUCUAUGCACCAACUUGAGGGGGAGUGUUGAGAUAUUAGGAAUGCUUUCCUUGUAUCAUUCUUUCCUUAUAUCAUUCUUUCCUUGUAUCAUUCUUUCCCAUUCUUAUAAUGGUGAUUACCCUCUAUAUAUACUCUGUACAUGAACGAAUAAAAGAAUGAAUGAGAUAAAAAAAAAUACCAUUCAUCAAUUUGAAGAAAACUGUUAUCAGUGUAUAAAUACCAAUGUAAAAGGUUAUUCUUCAAGAUAGAAAAUUGAAAACAAUAUCUUUCUUGAUACAAAGUGUCACUCACCUCCUCGGACCAUCACACAGAACAUAGUUCUACCUAAAAGGAAAUGAAAACUAAAGCUACGUGACAAGGUUCUUCAGUAAUGCUGAAAGUUAGAAAACCCAGUUCAAAGAAAUUUUUGGUGCCAAGCUUUGUAGAAAAGUCUUAGGGUUCUCAUCGAAGGCAAGCAAUGUGAUACCAAUUAUCAAGUUGAUAUAAAACCCGUAAUUCUAAGGGUAGAGAGAGAGGGAGAUAGGGCCAAACUUAGGGAAAAAAACCAAAAUUCAUUGAAAUAAGUUUGUUUUUUGAUUGAUCAUGAGAAUUAAUAAACCUUAGGACAUUUUUAUUGUUAAAUUUUAACACAUAAGAAAAUCUGGAUAUGGAGGCAUACAAGAUUUUACUUAAUUGGCUAAUAAAACCUCAAGGUCCUAUACAAAUUAACAUAAUUCAAUUGUUAUUAAUGUCUUACUUUUGUGAGUGAAUUGUUGAGUUUUGUGAUAUGGGUUUAACUUUUCAUUGACUUAAUUUGAAUAUAUGAAUAGACUACUUAAUUAAUUUGUCUUAUCCCAUAAUAACACAAUUUAUAUUAUGGAACAUAUAAGAAAAAUUGAUAGGAUCAAAUAUAGUUGGAUCUAACACAUUAUGUUAACAUUAAUACUCAUAUUCAAUUGUGUAUAUAAAUUCAAGAAACUAACACAUACACACAUGUAUAUAUAAGGUUUCAAUUUUAUAAAUAUUUGCAUAAUGAGUAUAUUUCAAAUAAUCAAUAAAAGUUUGUAUCACAUAUAAAGUGAUAUAUUAACAAAAUAUAAUUUAUAGUUAAAUCAUGUUUUCAAAGUAGUGAAAUAACAUAUUGACUAGAGAAUUUAAAAUAUGUAUAUACACACCAAAAACAUAAAUACAUUGAUUCUUGUUAACUUGUGAAUUCAAAAAAGUUUUAGUUUAGCAAAAUCAAUACCAAAAUUUUAUCUUGAUCAACUCAUUGUAUUGGGUGGGGACAUAUCUCUACUAAAAUAUUUGAAAGGAAAAUUUUACAUUUGAGAUGUUCUUAUCCUCUUGAAUUUGAUAGUUUGUUCUUAGUUUGAGAUUCUCUUGCCCUUUGAUAAAAUUAAUAGUGUAAGUACAAAUUGAUAAAAGUUUAGUCAAAAAUGAAAAUUUACUUGAAGUGUCUUAUUCACCUUAAUUAAUAAGGAUCCAUGAGUUGACUAAUCGAGUUUUGAGCCUUCAAGUUGUUUGAGCAUUUUAUCUUCAAUUGCUCAACUUUUUCCAUCUAGAUAUCAAUCAAACUUAAGACUAAGGUGUUAGAUUCCAUUAUUUUAUGUACUAAAUUCGUUUAAUAGAAUGCUUGGUGAUUCAAAAGUAAUAACCUUUGAACUUAAGAAUCAGUCCAAACAACAACUUUAGUAAGAAAAUCAAUGUCAUAAUUUGAUUUUUUAACUCUUUUGGAUUACUUAAGAACAUGCACCAACUUCUCAAAAUAUUCUUAAGCAAAAUAUUGGAAAUUGAAAUGUUCUUUCCCUCUUAAUUUGAUUACUGGUUCUUGCUUCAGACUCUUUAUCUCACUUUUAGAUAUUUAGAUUACAAAAUUGAAUCAAUUGUGAGUUCAAAUUAAUUGGCAAGACUUGGAUCAAAAUUAAAAAUUGACUUGAAAUAUUUGACAUACCUCUAUUAGUAAGGAUUUCCAUGGCUUAACUAACUGAGGUUGGCUCUAUCUUUAACCAAUUAGCUAACUCAAUGAUAGAUUUUUAGUGUCUUGGCAUAUCCAACAAAAACUUGAUCAAAUUCAAGGUUAAAGUGCAAUUUCAUGUACCAACUUAUCAAACAAAAUGUUUAAUACUUAAAGUUAACAAUGCAAUUAAGCUUAUCCUAAAAAUGCUUGAAAACAAGUCCUAAUAAUUUGAAUAAAACAAAUAUGGACUUUAGGCCUAUGGAGGCGUAUGGACUUUCAAAAUAGGGUAACUAGGAAAAAAAAAAAAAAGAAAAAAAAAUGAAAAAUGAAAAUCAUUAGAAAGAAUUUCAUCCCUUUAAAUCACUUAGCUAGGCAAUAUAAACUAAUGAGAGAAAGAAAAAGUGGUUUACCAAAAACCAAGAUAAAUGUUUAAUAUCUUCCAUAACGUAUCCAUUGAACAAAUUUGCAAAGGAACUCGAACCACUUGUGCAUAUGGUCAUCUUCAUCAUUUUGGGCUUCUUUGCCCAUCAACAUUAGUAUCUUUUGUAUAUAAGCCAAGAUGGACAGCAGACUUCAUCCAUGGACUAGCAUUUAGAUGAUGGAACAUCAACUAAUCCAAAUUCAUCAUCAUAGAAAUUAGCAUCAAUAUAAACAAAGUGAGGAAUUUAAGAUACUUUAUUAAAUUCCUUAAGUGAUCUUAAAAAAUAAAUGAAGAUAAUUUACCAAUGAUCUAUCAACUCAUUCUUGAGAGAAUUUGUUAAUAAUUUCAAAUACACAGAGUUAUCCAUGCUUAAAAAAAUAUAAAUUAAAAUCAAGGACAAAAAUACAAAAGAUAUUGGAACAAAGAAGUCAUUUUUUUUAAUAGUAUUCUCAUUUUGAUUCACUAUUAGCAUCUUUUCGACAGUUUCCAAAUUAAAAAUAAUAAGGUAAGAAAUUAAAUAAAAUAAAAAUUAUAAACUAAUUAAUUAUGAAAAACCAUCUUAGAAAAUUAAAAUAAAAUCUAAAAUAAGCAAAUCCAAAUUUAGUAAUUUUUAUUUUUCAUUUUAUUUUUAUUAGUUUAUAUUUAUUUUUGUUUUUAUAUAUGUAUAUUAUUAUUAUUUUUAAAGGAAGCAAAGUUGUUGCAAAUUACAAAAUUAUAAUUGUACUACUAUGAAUAAUUCAAUAUAUUAAUGUCACACUUUAUUUUGUCAAUUUUUUUUCAUAUGUUAAAUGAUUAUGUAUCUAUAGAUAAAAUCUUAAGGAUAAUAAAUGUAUUAUAUUAUAAACUAGUUUAUAUCUAAACCUCAUUAAAAGUUGUAAAAGUUUAAGAGCAAUAUGUCUUUAUUUCUUAAAAUAAAUAGGGAAAUAUACCAAGAAUGUAACUAAGGUACACAUAUGCAUGUGAGUAAUUAAAAAUAGGAAUAAUGUAAUUCACAUAUGAAAAAUGUGAUCAAAGUAUAAAAAUACAAAAAUUAUGACCGAUGUAUUAAGGUAUAAAAAAAUUCCGUUAGGAUGUAAAAAAUGUAACUAAGGUUAUAAAAAAUAUGACCAAGGUAAUAAGAUACAAAAAUUAUUAUUAGGGUAUGAGAAAUAUGACUAAGAUAAAAAAAUAAAAAAAUAAAAUGUUAUGAGGAUGCAAAGAAUAUGACCAAGGUACCAAAAAUGCAAUUAAAGUAUAAAGAAUGUAACUAAAAUAUAAAAAAUAUGAUUAAGAUAUGAAAAAUGUGAGUGAGGUAUUAUAAUGUAAAUAAUGUGACUAAUUCAUUUAUAAUUAGGCUCAAACUUGGAUAAAAGUGAGAAAAAUAAAUAUUAAUUCAUGCUUCAACCAACUUGAUUUAUAGUGUAAUUAAGAAAUUUAAGAAACAUAUAAUAAUUUUUAAAAUCUAAAUAUAAAAAUUAAUUCAAAAGUUUUGGUCCACCAAACUCAAUGAUCAUAAUAUUAGGAAUAUUUUCAACUUUUAUUAAUCAAUAUAAGCAUUCCAUUAUUGCCUUCUAUGAUAUAAUUCUUUCCUCUCAAUAACUCUUGCCAAAGUUAAGCUUUGGAUGAUUCCUAACAUUUAUAUAACCUAAAAAAAAAAAAAAACACUCCUCUUAUCCAAGAAUUGAGGAUGUCAAAUUUUCCUAAAAUUUUGGAGCAAUUGAAAGCAAACUAAUUAAAAGCAAAGGCAUGAAAAAGGAGAAAAAAAAAAAAAAAAAAAAAAAAAGAAAUAUUGCCCCUUUAAAUGAUUUGACCAUGUCUAACAGUAUAUUGAACUCCAUGUUCUUCCAAACGCCUAACAAUUUUAAAGUUGUGCAGAUGUUUCUUUCACUAAUUUUGAUACGUCUAAUAGCAAAUAAAAAGAGAGAAGGCAUACCUCACAGGAGGGUCAAGAAAAGUGUGUUGUGUCUAAAACUAGAGAUGUCCUGAUCUUUUGGGGUGUCGGUCCGCUUUUGGGUGAUCCUCUCGCCAUCACGACUUGUCUUGACAUGGAAACCAGUAUUUUCUCUCAAUAACCAUUGUAGGCAUAUAAUGAUCCUCUUUUUGAUUCAAUUCAGUUAAAUAUCAUGCAGAUGGCUUUAAGCUCCACUCCAUCAGACCUUUCACUUUCACUCGUACAUACUAUAUGCUCUCUCCUCCUAGCUCCUCACUCCUUACCAUCCCAAACCAACUGAGCUCUUUCAUAACUUAUCUCUCCAUACCAUCACACAAAACACAAUUCUACCUGAAAGAAAAUGAAAACCAGAGUUAAGUGAGUGGGUUCUUCAAUAAUUCUAAAAGAUAAAAAAAAAAAAAAAAAAAAAAAAAACCCACUUCAAAGAAAUUUUUGGUGCCAAGCUUGGUACAAAACCCAAUUCAAAGACAAGUAAUGUGAUACUAAUUAUCAAGUCCAAACAUAACCCUUAAUUUUAUGGGCAAAGAGUGACAGAUGUCGAUUACCAAGUCCACAUAUAACUCUUAAUUUUAAGGGCAAAGAGAGAGAAAGAAGUUUAAAUGAAAGAAUAUACCAAACUAGAGCAAACCAAUAUGCAAAUAUUCUAAAUUGAGAACAUCAUAGUGAGGGUAGAUUGUAGAAGCAACAUUUCAACUUAGAUGCAUCGUUUUGAAUUUUAACCUGAUGGAGAGAAAAUAAGAACUAGCAUCCUCGUAAGAUAAGAGCUUCCACAAUGCAUCAUCGUGGGAUCCUCCCUAAAAAUUGCCGCGUGGCUCCCUUUCCCUUGCGACACGUGGCACCGCCGACAUUCCACCCGGACAUCUCACAUCCGGAAUUCUUCUCCGCCGAUAUUCCACCCGAAUGUCUCACCGCCACAAUUCUGUCCGGCCAACGUUCUACCUUAUUCGGAUGUUUCACAGCCGCCAUUAUAUCCGGCCAACGUUCCACCUUCUCCGGAUGGGAGAGGAGGACGAUUCAACUUCCCCGGGCAGACAUGUCCGGAUCCUCUGGUGACACUUACCCGGACAGCUUGGCUCGUCAGAUACUCGUGAUUCGUCGGAUCCAUUUCCGCCAACAAUCAAAGAGAUAACUCUGACAAUACUGACGACCAAGUCUCCUGAACUAUCACUCACAUUUAAUGCAAGAUACAUUCGACAAGACAUUCUCAAGUUUUCUUAGGUCUCCUGACACAUCCCCGAUAUUUAAAGUCAUAAAUUGAAGCGGUGGAUGUCGCCUAAAUAUCCUCCUGACAGCUGCAAUCUUGGACCAGAAACGUCAUGAUUGCUUCAUCACCCUAUAAGCCACAAUCAUGACGAUGGGACCCGCUGGCACAACGAGGCGAUAUUUUCUGACUCAUAUAUAAACUCUAAGAAGGCUCUCAGGGAGGUAAGAGAUAAGAAAAAAAAAAACAAUAAGCAAUAUAUCAUUCUGGAGGUCAUAAGCCAAAAAAGAUAAGCAACAAAGGAUAAACAUCCUGCUGAGUGAUAAACAUCCUUGACAAAAAUCACGGAGCCACACUCCCAAAGGAAGACCUCAUUUUCCAUACAUCUUCCAAAAUACCAACUUAAUCAUCGGAGGGUGUGUCCGGACAACCCAUCCAGACAUCUUUUUUGCAGGAGGAAGAAGGAUUCACUGUAACGCGUUGAUCGAGAUCCCGUUGCUGGUGACGACUACUGUAGCAGUGGAACUUUGCCAUCAACAUUGGCGUCAUCUGUGGGAACGUCUUUUCUUCUCAGUAAAUCCUAUACCUUCCAACUGUAAAGAUGACUUCACCCUCAAGGAGUCGUUCUUCCGCCAGAGGAGACGAAGGUUACUUCGAAUGGCGAAACAUCAUGGAAAGACGAUAGCGAGAGAACGAACGGCAGACGCAAAUUCUGCUCCAAGAAACAAGGAAACUCAGGGAAGAAAACAAUGUCUUGAGGAUCCCAGGCUCUUCCCAACAUCAGCACUAUCAGCGGAGGCAGAAUCCCUACCACUACCAGGAAGCUCCAUUCCCCCUCGAGGCGAGCCCAACCCUCGAGGCGCAUCAAGCAUGGCCUGAUGAAACCCCAGUGCACGCUCACCGCGUCCGACGAAAAGAUAGUUCAGGCUCUACUCGAGUCUCGCCCAAGCGACAACGUGAAAAAAGACCCCAAAUAUCUGACGCGAUGCGCGCACGUCUGGGACCUCAAACACCCUGCAGAAACAGGCCUUACACAGCCAUAUCACUGGAGGCACACUCCGAGCCUUCAAGCUCGCCUACUCUAUAGGGACAUGUCGCCAGCCCACUCGUGGCGCGGGUUGGUAAAGAUCCCUCGCAUUCAGCCCCUCCGGGCUCUAUCAGCAGGUGCCUGGACGACAUACUCUCCACGCCUUUCAGCUCUCGUAUCAUUAAAUAUGAGCCCCCACGAGGGUUCAUCGUCCCGAAAUUCUCCACGUAUGAUGGAUCCAGCGAUCCCUUUGAUCACAUAAUGCAUUAUUGGCAGCUCAUGACCCUAGACAUAGGGAAUGAUAUGCUGUUGUGCAAAGUUUUCCUAGCCAGCCUACAAGGCCAGGCUCUUUCGUGGUUUCAUCGACUGCCCGCAAACUCGAUUGAUAAUUUCCGGGAUUUGUCCGAGGUCUUCGUGGGACAGUACUUAUGCUCAGCCAGGCAUAAACACAAUAUCAGCACCUUGCAGAACAUCAAAAUGCAAGAAAAUGAAACUCUGAGAGAGUUCGUGAAGCGUUUCGGACAAGCUGUCCUACAGGUUGAAUCGUACAGCAUGGACGCAGUCCUCUAAAUUUUUAAACGGAGCAUAUGCCCAGGGACCCCCUUCUUCGAGUCCCUCGCCAAAAAACCUCCUACAUCCAUGGACGAAUUAUUCCGGCGUGCGAGUAAAUACUCCAUGCUAGAGGAUGACAUCCGUGCCGCUACACAGCAGGUCUUGGUAGCUGGCCAGGCCGCUAAAAGCGAAGCCACCAGAAGCUUCAGAGCACCCAACCAUCCUGGGUCAUCCAACAGGGGGCAAGAUGAGCGACGUCCGUCAUUCAUUCGAACACCUCUCACCAAGUCGUAUGAAAAACUGCUUCCUAUAAUCCAUGAUCUGCCCGGCUUCAGAUGGCCAAUACCAAUAAGAUUGAACCCCUCAAAAAGGAACCACAACAAAAGAUGUGAUUACCAUAAAGAUCAUGGGCACACAACUAAAACAUGCAUAAACCUCCAUCACAUGGUAGAGGAUCUCCUAAAGGCGGGACACUUGAAGCAGUACGUCCGAACAGCGCCUAAAGGUGAAGGAUCUUCCUAUGAUCGAGGCCCACGCGCCCCAACGGCUCCUAUUAGGGCAGUGAUCAACUACAUAUACGGAGGACCCUUGGAUGACGAGUACAGUUCCAAAAGGAAAAGGCAGAGACUGCUACGAGCAGCCACGGUUCGGGAACACGUGAGCCCCAUCCGGCCGGGAUUAUCCAGUGGGAGCAUCCAUCCUAUAGAUGGAACCAUUCUCUUCCUCGCUGUAAAUCCCGCCCGAGUGCUGCAGCCGCAUCGAGAUGCUCUCAUCCUAACAUUAGGGGUGGGAGACUACGCCGUGAAAAGAAUCCUGGUCGACCCAGGCAGCUCCGCGGACCUGUUGCAGGUGGCGGUCAUCAAACAAAUGGAUUUCGAACUCUCCAACUUGGAGAAUCCCGGAAGAACCCUGUCCGAAUUCAACAAUUCUUCCACAACCUCACUUGGGGAUGUAACACUGCCGGUUCAAGCCGGGCCAGUCAUCCUAAAUGUUCUAUUCUCUGUGGUUGAGGAUUUAUCUCCUUUCAAUGCCAUUUUGGGACGCAUGUGGUUGCAUGGUAUGAAGGCCAUUCCAUCCACAUACCAUCAAAUGGUCAGCUUCAUCACCCCAAGAUGGACAAAUUAAUCUUUACGGAAGCCAACUCGCUGCCAGGCAAUGUUAUCAGAUCGCUCGCGAGGCCGGGACCAGCGCCGACCGCGAGCACUCCCCCAAAGAAGCAAAUGCUUCUGACCAAUAGCAACUAUAGCACCCGGCGGACAAAGAUCCCCCGGCAGCAGACCCGCUGGAGGCUGUCCGGAUAUCAAAAGGAUGUGAACGCUUCACGUAUGUUAGUACCCUCCUACCGCCAGCCGAGAGAUUCGAGCUCCAAAAGGUGCUCCAACAAAAUUGCGAUAUCUUUGCUUGGGCCCACUCGGACAUGUCCGGAAUACUUCCGAGCGUCGCCUCUCAUCGGCUCAACGUAUUAGCCACCUCCAAGCCCGUUUGACAAAAAAUUCAACGAUUCCACCCGGACAGGCAGAAAGUCAUUCGGGAAGAAAUGGAAAAAUUAUUGAAGGCCGGUUUUAUAAAGGAGGUGGAGUAUCCGGAAUGGUUGGCAAACGUAGUAGUGGUCCCUAAGAAGGGAGGAAAAUGGCGGGUGUGCGUAGGCUACACCAAUCUCAAUGACGCGUGCCCCAAAGACAGUUUUCCACUACCGCGAAUAAAUCAGAUAGUAGAUGCAACCUUCGGGCAUGAAAUGCUAUCCUUUUUGGAUGCUUUCUCCGGGUAUCACCAAAUUCCCAUGGCUCCGGAAGACGAAGAAAAAACUUUCUUCAUAACUCCUCACGGGCUCUACUGUUAUAGAGUCAUGUCAUUCGGACUCAAGAACACUGGGGCCACGUACCAGAGGUUAAUGACCAAGAUUUUUAAGUCGCUGAUUGGCGACAUUAUUGAGGUGUACAUUGACGACGUGGUAGUCAAAAGCAAAACCCGAAGUGAACACACCUAGCAUUUGCAGAAAGUUUUUCAUUUAUUGAGAAAAUAUGGCAUGAAGCUUAACCCAGCCAAAUGCGCAUUCAGGGUAAGCUCGGGGAAGUUCCUAGGGUUCAUGGUUACCCAAAGAGGAAUCGAAAUCAAUCCAGAUCAGGUGAAAGCGGUCGCUGACAUGCUUGCACCAACGAACAAGAAGCAGUUGUAACGCCUCACUGGCAAACUCGUCGCUCUCGGACGGUUCAUAGCUCGAUUCACAGACAAGAUGAAGCCUUUCUUUCUAGCACUCAGAGAUGUCAAUAAAUCUGGAUGGACGCAAGGCUGCCAGAAUGCUUUUGAAGAAAUCAAACGGUAUCUUUCUCAACCCCCCAUUCUAAGCAGUCCGCUACUUGGGGAAAGACUAUACCUGUAUCUAGCAGUUACCGAUUGGGCUGUUAGCGCGGUCUUGCUCCGUUCCUUGUCGCCCCGAGAACAAAAACCCGUAUAAUUCAUUAGCAAAGCGCUUGCCGACGCAGAGACAAGGUAUUCAAGGAUGGAACAGACUGCCUUGGCAUUGCGCACGGCCGCUCAAAAACUGCGUCCCUAUUUCCAAGCUCACCCCAUAACAGUACUCACCAAUCAACCCCUCAGAAACAUUCACCAUAAACCGGACAUAACGGGAAGGAUGCUAUGAUGGGCGAUAGAGCUGAGCGAAUAUGGGAUAGAUUAUCAGCCCAGACUAUCCCUGAAGGGACAGGUCAUGGCAGAUUUUAUAACAGAGUUGCCUGAAGAGCGCGCGCCGGACAAAAAAUCGACUCCGGAUGAUGGGUGGUCUCUGCAUGUUGAUGGGGCCUCCCGCUCGUCCGGAUCAGGAGUCGGACUCCUCCUCAAAGCACCAACCAGAGAACAGCUGGAGCAAUCCAUCCGUCUAGAUUUUCCCGCCUCAAACAAUGAAGCUGAAUACGAGGCCAUCCUAUCCGGAUUGGGCCUUGCAUCCACCCUGAACGCCUCAAAAGUCAAAAUCCACAGCGACUCCCAGCUCGUCGUGGAGCAAAUACGAAAAGAGUAUGAGACCAAGGAUGAGCGCAUGGCUAAAUAUGUCAUGACCCAAAUUCCGGGCGACCCAAAAUUUGGCCCGUGACCCCUGGUCAAAGGUUUGACCCUAAGGGUUUCUCCUAUUCCACGUUGGCAGUCAACUAAAACACUCUGAAUUUUUUUUUAUUUUUUAUUUUUUAUUUCAUAUAAGUCCCACUAGGGUUCUCACCAACUAACAAUAUUUUAAACCUUACUUAAACACAUCAAGAUUUAAUAAACCUCAUUGCAUCCCAAAAUAAAAUUUCAUAAAAAUCCCCUUAAUCAAACUAAGGUCUUAUUACAUUAUCCAUAAUUCACUUAUUACAAGGUCUCAAUACCACAACACAAUAAAAAAAUAAAACCUUUCCACUAAACCGCUCCAGGGGCAUCCUAAAGUCCUCCCUGUCCCAUCUGUGGAUCCUCAGGAGUGAUAUCUGCAUCUAAAAAUAUAUAAAAAGGAAGGGGUGAGCAUUUCCACAUUACUCAGUAGGGUGCCUAACACCCAAAGGGUUAAUGGGGGAUUACUAUAUUUUAAGAACCCAAACGCAACAAUUCACCAAUAUAAAUCAAGUCACACAAUUUAACAUACAACACUAUACUUAAUUCCACAACAUCCACUUAUUAAAUGAAUGCAUAUAAACGUGUGACACACAAUCAUACAAUGCACUAUCGUUCUCGGGCUUUCACCGAAGGAUACGCGUCCGCACCCAAAUAUACUCCCCAUUUGGAGUCUUCUCGAGGUAAACUUUUGGGUCUUUCACCCUAGGGAUCUCUCUCCCUUCUUAGUUCGCCUCACACGGGCUUUCACUUUUCAUCACUAUUUUAUUUUUUUUUCCAUUUCAUACACUUUUCACAAAUUUUUUUUUCUUCAUACAACCAUGAUGCAAAUGAAUGCUACAAACUCCAAAAUUCCUCAAAAAUUUCAACAAUUCCAACAUUUUCAAUAACCCAAUAAAAUAAAAUUUUCACAUUAAAAUUCCCGAAAAUAUACCAACGAAUUUUCGGAAAUUCACACAUCAAUAUACUUGAAUUUAUGUCACAAUUUCAGAAUUUUUCAAUAAUUCUAAUAAUUCCUAAUAUUUGAGAAUAACUAAUUUUUCACAAUAAAAUUACCGCAAAUAUUCCAAUCAAUUUUCAAAAAUUCAUAAGUCACUAGAUUUGAAAUCUUACCCUAAUUCCGGAAUUUUCCUACAUUUCUAGCAAUUUUUAACAACCUAAAAUAAUUAUUUAUUAAUUACAAAGAAUUCCGGAAAUUACAAAAAAAAUCCAGAAAAAAUCCCAAAUCAUUCCAGAAAAUUCACACAACAUCAAAAUUACCUAAUUAACUCAUAAUUAUCAGAUUUAUAAUUUUUUUCCAAUGAAAAAUACAUUAAAUUUGAGUUUUAGGGUUAGUUUUCCCCUACCUCAUAUAUGAAAAUUUGGCCAUUAAAAACAAAAUUAGCCACCGUAGACUUGUUCCUCUAGUCGAAUAGAGCACUUCCUCCGAAUUUGGGCCGAAACGGAGGUCGCUUGGCCGUCCAAACGGCCGGUCAAAGAUCCGGAGAGUGACCAAAUUUUCUGCAGUACUCUCUCUCUCUCUCUCUCCCCGCGUGCUACCAGUUUUCCAAUUCUCCCCCUUUUCCUUUUUUUUUUUUUUAACAACAAAGGCUUCCUACCACCAGCCCAUAUCUAAGCCCAAUCCAUUUCAUAUCUUUUUUUUUUUUUUUAAGACAUCACCCACUUAAGCCCAAAACCAAAAGCCCAACUCCAUUAUUAUUAUUAUUAUUUUCUUUUACAACCCAUUACCUUAAACGGCCAAUAUUCAAAGCCCAAUGAAUAUUUUUAUUUUAUUUCUUUUCUUUUCUUUUCUUUUCUUUAUUCUAAUUGUUUUAUUGGAUUUCCAAUUCAGUUUUUUUUUUCAUUUUUUUUAACACACAAUUUAUUUAUUAACAUCAAUCUAAAACUAAUUUUUCUCAAUUUUAUUAUUCAUCAAUUUAAUUUAAUUUUUCUUAAUUAAUUCUAAUUAAUUUUUUUUAAUUAAUUCAUUUUUUUUAAAAUUUUUCGGAAAAUUUCAAUUUCUAAAAUCCUAAGAAAUUUUCUACUCUAAGGCUGACAUGGCAUAAAAUUUCAACUCGUUUAAUUGACCGACACAAUAAAACGAAAUUCACCAAUCCGAAAUUAACACGUGUUCUCCAAACACUUUUCUUUUUGACUUUUCAACCAUCACACAAAAUAAGACUUUUCAAACUAAAAAUGCUAACGUGGCAUAAAAUACCCGGUCAUUACAAAAUACCUAUUGAAAGUACAAGAAUCACUCAGACAGCUGAGAGAGUGGGUCAUUAAGAAAGUCCCAAGGGGAGAAAAUGUGCAAGCCGACGCUUUAGCGGGUAUAGCCUCAUCAUUUCCUGUGAAAGAAUCAACGAUGCUACCCGUAUACGUUCAAGUCACUCCCUCCAUCGCUGAGUCACACGUUUGCAAUGUGGGCCCAAAAGAAAACGACUGGGCGGUUGACAUCAGAGCCUAUUUACAAGCGGGGGCAUUGCCUGAAGAUCCCAAGCUCGCCCACAAAAUUUGGGUGCAAGCGUUCCGCUUUACCCUAAUCGGAGGUGAUCUCUACAGGCGAUCCUUCGGAGGUCCGUACCUCAGAUGCUUGAUCCAGCCGGAAAUCCAAUAUGUUCUAUCCGAACUUCAUGAAGGCGUUUGCGGCAACCACUCAGGGGGCAGAACCCUGGCACACCGGGCGCAUUCACAAGGAUAUUAUUGGCCUACAAUGAGGCAGGACGCAGAGAUCUAUGUCAGGAAAUGCGACAAAUGUCAAAAACACGCGCCAUCCCACAUAUGCCCGCUGAGACAUUAAACUCAAUGACAAGCCCCUGGCCCUUCGUGCAAUGGGGGAGGGACAUCGUGGGACCCUUACCCACUGCAGCCGCUCAGAAGAAGUUCCUACUCGUUGCCACCGAUUAUUUCAGCAAGUGGGUGGAAGUUGAAGCCUACACAAGCAUCAAGGACAAGGACGUCACAAGGUUCGUCUGGAAAAAUAUAGUAUGUCGAUUCGGAAUCCUUCAGGCGAUCAUGGCCGAUAACGGCCCUCAGUUUGAUAGCUCUGCCUUUAAAGAUUUCUACGCGGAACUUCACAUCAAAAAUCUGUAUUCCACGCCGCAGUACCCUCAGAGCAACGGUCAAGCGGAAGCAACCAAUAAAACCUUACUGAGUGCGUUGAAAAAACGAUUGGAAAAAGCCAAAGGAAAGUGGGUAGAAGAGCUGCCCGACGUCUUAUGGGCUUAUCGAACUACACCCGGAAGGCCGACAGGGAAUACCCCAUUCGCUCUCACAUACGGAACAGAUGCCGUCAUCCCAACUGAAGUAGAUAUGCCCACAGCCCGGACUGCCGUCCAAGGUAAAAGAAAUGAAGAUGAAAAGCUUGCAAAGCACUUGGAUUGGACGGAUGAGACUAGAGAGGCAGCAUCCAUCCGGAUGGCCGCAUAUCAACAAAAGGUGGCUGCAUAUUAUAACAGGAGGGUGCGACCUCGGAUUUUCAAGGAGGGGUCAUUGGUACUUAGAAAAGUUUUUGAAAACACGGCUGACGAAGGAGCCGGAAAAUUUCAAGCCAAUUGGGAAGGUCCUUAUGUGGUGUCAAAAGCCAACGAAAAUGGGUCGUACCAUUUACAAACCUUAAAUGGAACCCCUCUACUCCGCCCUUGGAAUGAAAGAGAAAUUUUGUAAAGGUAACAUUUUUAUCCCGUCUUUUCUGACUGUGCUAGACAGGCGAUAUAAAAGGGGGCAUUGUGGGAUCCUCCCUAAAAACUGCCGCGUGGCUCCCUCUCCCUUGCGACAUGUGGCACCGCCGACAUUCCACCCGGACAUCUCACAUCCGGAAUUCUUCUCCGCCGACAUUCCACCCGGAUGUCUCACCGCCGCAAUUCUAUCCGGCCAACGUUCUACCUUAUCCGGAUGUUUCACAGCCUCCAUUAUAUCCGGCCGACGUUCCACCUUCUCCGGAUGGGAGAGGAGGACGAUUCAACUUCCCCGGGCAGACAUGUUCGGAUCCUUUGGUGACACUUACUCGGACAGCUUGGCUCGUCAGAUACUCGUGAUUCGUCGGAUCCAUUUCCGCCCACAAUCAAAGAGAUAACUCUGACAAUACUGACGACCAAGUCUCCUGAACUAUCACUCACAUUUAAUGCAAGAUACAUUCGACAAGACAUUCCCAAGUCUUCUCAGGUCUCCUGAUACAUCCCCGAUAUUUAAAGUCAUAAAUUGAGGCGGAGGAUGCCACCUAAAUAUCCUCCUGACAACCGCAAUCUUGGACCAGAAACGUCAUGAUUGCUUCGCCACCCUAUGAGCCACAAUCAUGACGAUGAAACCCACUGGCACAGCGAGGCGAUAUUUUCUGACUCAUAUAUAAACUCUAAGAAGGCUCUCAGGGAGGUAAAAGAUAAGAAGAAAAAAAAAAAAGCAAUAAGCAAUAUAGCAUUCUGGAGGCCAUAAGCCAAAAAAGAUAAGCAACAAAGGAUAAACAUCCUACUGAGGGAUAAACAUCCUUGACAAAAAUCACGGAGCCACACUCCCAAAGGAAAACCUUAUUUUCCAAACAGCUUCCAAAAUACUAACUUAAUCAUCGGAAGGUGUGUCCGGACAACCCAUCCGGACAUCUUUUUUGCAGGAGGAAGAAGGAUUCACUGUAACGCGUUGAUCGAGAUCCCGUUGCUGGUGACGACUAUUGUAGCAGUGGAACUUUGCCAUCAACAAUCACUACUAAAAAGAUUGAUUAAAAUAAGAGAAUUAUUAGAAAUUGUAAAAAAGGAUAACAAAAUUUGUAUACCUCAAUUUGAGAAUGCUUCACCCUCCCCCUAAAGCCAUUUAGAUGAAUAUUAUUCAAUAUAAUGCAGUAGUGUACUCUCAAGCAUGCUAAAAUGUAAGGAUCGAACAAAAAAAACAGAGUAUAAUAAUACUCAAAGUACUUUCUGAAUCAAAAAAUAACUCAUCAGGGUUUGAGAAUUCUUAUUACCUUUACAGAUUGGCAAAUCAUAAGGCCUUUGCAAACCGAAGGUACUAGAAGACUUACUAGGUUUUUUUAAGAGGCGUGAUGAGCUUGGAAAGCUAACCACUGAUGUACAAUACUAAGCUUAAGCAAGAGAGAAACUAUUAUUGACAUGAAAUUGAGAAAUGGUAAAUUAUCAGCUUUAGCACUAGAAUUUAUCUUUUGAUUGAUCAUGAGAAUUAAUAAAGUUUAGGACAAUCUUUUUUGUGAUUAAAUUGUAACACAAGAAAAUCUAGAUGUAGACACAUUCAUGAUUUUACUUAAUUGGCUAACAAAACCUCAAGGUCCUCUCCAAAUUAAAAGAAUUCAAUUUUUAUUGAUGUCUUAUUUUUGUAAAUGCAUUCAAACAUAGUGGUAUGGUUUUAACUUUUAUUCACUUUAUUUAAAUAUUAUUUACAUAUUGGGUAAUUAAUUAAUGCUUUUUCAUAAUAACAUGAUUAACCCUAUGGACAUAGAAGAAAAGAAGUUAUAAUAUAUAUAUAUGUAUAUAUCAAUUUUAUAAAAAUUUGCAUAAUGAGUAUAUUACAAAUAAUCAAGAAUAUUUUGAAUCACACUUGAAAUCAUAUUUAAUUCAUACUUAAAUCAUGUCUAAAAAAUUUGAAAUAUGUAUAUAAACAAACAAACAUAUAUACAUCUAUUAUUGUUAACUUGUGAAUGAGAAAUGGAUUCAAAAAAGUAUAAAUUUAGCAAAAUCAAUACCAUAAUUUUAUCUUCAACUCAUUGCAUUGGGUCAAGAUGAAUUCCUCUACUAAAACAUUUGAAAGGAAAAUUUUGCAGUUGAGAUGUUCGUCUUCUCUUGAAUUUGAUAGUUUAUUCUUAAGUUAAGAUUCCUCCUUCCCUUUAUAAAAUUAAGUGGAGUGUGACUAUAAAUUGAUUAAGAGUUUAAUCAAAAUUGAAAAUUUACUUGAAACAUCUUACUUGCCUCAAUGCAUAAGGAUGCAUGCGUGACCAAUUGAGUUUGGGCCUUCAAGUCAUUUGAGCUGUUCACCUUCAAUUGCUUGAGCUUGAUAUAUUCCUUCUAGACAUCAACUAUACCCACGACUAAUGCAUUACAUUAUUUAAUUUUCUGUUUUAAAUUGGUUUAAUAGAAUAACUAAUGCUUUAGAAAUGAUAACUUUUAAACUAAAAAAAAUCAAUCCAAACAACUUUGGUUCAUGAAAUCAAUAUCAUAAUUUAAUUUUUAACUCAUUUGGAACACCUAAGAACCUAGAACAACCUCUCAAAAUAUUCUAAAGCAAAAUAUUUGAAAUUGAAAUGUUCUUCCCCGCCUAAUUUGAUUACUCAUUCUUACUUUGAGACUCUUAUCUCCUUUUGAGACCAAGAAAUAUAGAGUACAAAAUUGAAUAAAAUGCGAGUUCAAAUAGGUAAGACUUUAAUCACAAUUCAAAAUUGACUUGAAAUAUUUUAUUUAGUUAGAACUUCCAUGACUUAACCAUUCAAGUUCAAGGCUAAUGUGUAAUUUCCUCUAUAACUUAUUUAACUCAAUGUUUAGUAUUUUGAAAUUAACAAUGCAAUCAAGCUGAACCUAAAAAUACCCAAAAACAAGUCCUAAUAGAUGUGAUUUUUUUUAAUAAAACAAAAUUCGGAUUUUAGACUUAAUGGAGGCCUUGGACUUUCAAAAUAGGGUAGCUAGGAAAAAAAAUAAGAGAAGAAAAAGUAAUGAAAAUCAUUGGAAAGAAUUUAAGCCCGUUAAAUCACUUAGCAAGAGCUUACCAAAAGAGAGGUGGCUUACCAAAAGCUUGAGAUGAAUGUUUAGCAUCUUCUACAGCAUAUCCAUUGAACAAAUUUGCAAAUUAAGAAGCUCCAUUCACUUGUGCAUUUGGUCCUCUUCAUCAUCUUGGGCAUCAACAACAUUAUCAUUAAUAUUUUGUGUUAUUGUAUCCAUUGGAGAAUGGUUGUUGCCCAUACAUUGUAUGUCGUCACAGCUUCUCUGUGCAUUAACAUCAGCAUCAAGUACUGAUUUGGUGCCACAGCUUCUCUGCACAUCAAGGUACCGUGUCUUUGCUGCAUGCUGCAUGAUUGUACUUGAUGCCUUUUAUAUUGGUAUCGUGGGAGGUGGCAAAACAAACUGCCUCUCCAAGGAGGUAUCCUCUGACAUUAUGAAAGAAAGAGAGGGUGAUGGAGAAAUCUUCCCAUAAAGACAAAUGUAGUGUAUAGUUGUGCAAGCUUUAACAGAAUCUUCUGGUCUCGCAGCCCAACAUUGAUCUUCAACCAAUUGGCGAUCUCAACAAGCCUUGAAAACUUACCCAUCAUCUUUCACAUGCUCUCCUGAUAGAUUGGCUGCCUCUGUCAAUGCACCCCUCCACCUUUGCACCAUCUCUUUCUUCUCUUUUGUAUCUUCUUUAUAAUUCUUAAAGGCUUCUCCAAAACUUCCUGUUUGCUUUCGUACAUGGGAUGGACCAACAUGGUAGAAAAUUGAGAGGACGAUUUGUCCCAUUUCUUUCCUGCACUCCAUGAUCUUAACAAGCUCAUUUAAACACCAUCUUGAAUCAGCAUAGUUUUUAGAGAAAACGAUUACGGAAAACCUUGAUCUUUCAAUGACUUUGAAGAGUUCUGACCCAAUCUCUUCUCCUCUCUUAAGUUUAUCAUCUCUGAAGGUGCGAUUGCCUCUCUUAAGCAAAGCUUGGUAGAGGUGAUCAGUGAAAUUAUAGCGGGUGUCUUCGCCUCCAAAACUCAAGAAAACAUCAUAGUUCUUUUGAGGGAUGGAAUUAGUAGUAGUCGUAGCAGAGGAAGAAGAAGAAGAUGAAGAUGAAGAUGAUGAUGAAAAGGGUAUUAGAAAACUUAGGAACGCAAUUAUGGAAGCUAUUAGGGAAUUUAUGAAAGGCAUGGUUGGUUUUUGUUUCAAAAUCACAAGAGGGUGUGAGGCUUGAUUUCUCUUGUGACUUGAGGAUAUGUAGCAAGCAAACUUUGCUUAAUACAUAAACUGUUUCUUAGUAAAAAGCUGGGGAGGUAAUUAAGUGGCUUCCACUGACCUUCCUAAGCAACUUCAAUAUUUGUAGUUUGGUAGAUAGGAAAGAAGGACAGCAUUCCCAGUGCCGAAAGAAAGAGAUUCUCUCAUUCUUACAUUUGCUUUUCUUUUAUCACUUUUUGCUUUUGUUUUGUUGUCUCACAGGUAGGCCAUUCAAUUCAAUGAUCAGCAUUUGGUUCUUGCACUUUUCAGUGUAUUCUUCAAGCCAUGAAUGGAAUUGAAAGGUAACUGUCAAUUUUUUAAUGUACGGCUUCACGUUCUCUUUUUUACUUUUGCUUUUGUCAUCAUUACUGCAAUGCCAUUUUUCUUCAAUUUUCCCUGUUGCCUUUCUCUUUUAUUAUCAUUCAGUUCUCUUUGAACGAGCUGAGCGGGGCCAGCGGGCAAAGAAAAGACUUCUGUAUACCUUGCGUCUGUUUUUCUUGCCACUUUUUCACUUUUCUUCUGUUUUCAUUUGGGUGUUGCAUGCACUCAACUUCCCUUUUAAAAAAUAAAAAUAUUUUACUCUUACUAAAUAAUAAAAAUAAUUUGUUGAUUUUUAUUUAUUUCUUAAUAUUUAAUAAAAAUAAAAUAUUAAAAAAAUACGUAACUUAAUACUUGACACUAUUAAAUAUUAUUUAGUUUUAACUUAUAUUUAAAAUUAAAUAAAGAAAACAAAUAUCAUCUAAGACCUUUUUUUUAAACAUUUCAAUAAUUUAUCUAACCAAAAGUGAAGAAAACUUGUGUUCCUAGAUUAUCUGUAAUUUAUCUAACCAACAGCCCCAGCCAAAAAUAAAAAUAAAUGCAACCAUAUCAUAUUGUUGCAAUUGAAGUUGACCGCCACAAAGCUGGAGCAAACAUAGUAUAUGGUUGCGGCUAGUGUUAUUUCCCCUAUUAUAGUUUGAAAGACAAGGCAGCAGCCAAAAGGAGGGUGCAACUGAAGCUUCCGGAUAUAGUUGUGGCAGUUUAAUUCCCUCCACCAAAAGGUAUAUAAAGCAAUAUAGCACCUGUUUUCCGCUGCUGUAAGCAUCUUAUGGUCAAACAUUAAAUGGUGGCUGUAGAGUUCCACAAGUUACUUUGUGGUUUUUUUAUAUAAAAUGUCUGUGCAGAUAUGCAGACUUAGUUUCAGUGUACCGCCAUCUCACUUCACAGGUUACAAACCGGCUAUUAUAAUAAGUUUUUCAGAAUUUAAGCACAAUGAACAAUACAACAUAUCAACAACUAAAGUUGAUUGACUCUGCUAUUUUGGGUCAUUGACUGUCCUUGAGAGUUCAAGUUGUCAUGUUUGUACUUGCUUUGCAUUACUAUUGCAACAAUUACAUACUACAGUUGAAACCAACAUCAAUGAGACUUGACGUUUACAAAUUAAAUUUUCCCAGCUAGAAGGUGGGGUCUCACUUUCCUCACCAAGCCCUGAACUUCAACAGCAUCUGGAAACAUGCAUUCAAUGCGGAUGCCAUAGUGUUUCUUAACAGUAUCCAAGAAUUGAUAUGUUUCCAGGUUGAACCUUCCGGUGUUCAAGUUGAACACCUUUAAUGGACAAUUCAGCAGCAUCUUCAGCACCACUGCCAAAAAAACAGGAAAGCAAAUAUUUUUUUCAGUACACAGCUUUGAUUCUGAUUCCACUAGUAAAGAUGAUGCAGAAUAUCACACAUGGAUUGAUCAAUGACAGAUACAGGAGUAGCAGAUAGAGAUAAAAGAAACACAAUAUAAAGUACUUAAUUCCAUUCUGGUGGAAAUCCCAGUUUUUCAAUUGAAAAUGGAGUACCAGUACUGGAUUAAUCAGGUGUUCUGUUUUGAAACAAUUGUCAGAUAACCAUAUAUAGAGCUUCAAAUGUUGCAUAUUGCAUACAACUUCAUGAUUCUGCACAUCCCAAUAAAAGUUCCUACGAGAUCCAGUAUAAAAGUAUAAACCUAACUCCCCAAAUCAGUAAUGCUGGCAUUAAAAUGCUAGCACUAAACUAAUGGCUACAGUCAACUUGUUGCACACUUUUUCAAGAAUGAGUCAAAACACAGUAACGUUAAUGGAUAUGAUGAUCUGUUGACAAGAGAACACCAUUCCAACAAGAUAUCUCAUGUGUUUUCUAAAACCAGAUAAGGUUUAGAAACAGUUACAAUAGCAUGCAAGCAUGUCUGCAAAAUCGUAACUCCACAGAUCUAUUAGAAUAUGUAACACAAAUUUCAUCUACCUCAUACCUGCUUUUACAAAAUCUGUAUGUUUAUACUGAGCUUUUCCUUUAACAUCCUCCUCUGUUACAGAAUGUACAUGAACACAAAACUCAAAUCAAUGUCCUCUAUAGUCAAUUGGUACUCCUUAUCUUCUGCUCCAACUAUUAUCACUGGACUGUUCCAUCCUCUUCUUAACCAACUGAAAGACAUAAAUAGAAAAGCUAUGUUAUUUUUUAAUUUCAACAACAGUAAAAUCACUGCUUUGAAAAACCUCACAGUGAUGUAGAACAGCUGGAAACAGGUUCCAAAUUUUAAUAGGAUUUAAUGAUUUUAACUGUAGGGAUUGGAACAUCUUGACCACUCCCUUUUCAGCCCACAUCUUCCACUCCCUCCCUAUUUCUCCUCAUAAUUCAUUGAGGGUUCAAUUUCCUUUAACUCUAUUUUUGUCUUCUCGCCUAAGCAUACAUUCCUGAGAUGCCAAAGAUAACUCCCUCCUUGUCAACUGCAAAGAGGAGUUGCAUGGCCUCUUCACUUCGCAACACCUUCUCCUGGAGUCCCACCACACUCCAGACAUUCAUGGACAUUGGCACUUAACUGCCAAAAUCAUGAAAAUCUAUGAUUGCCCCUAACAUUAUAUGAAAACUAGUUGCAUAUUAUGUCAGAAAAAUUCAAACCCCCAGCCCAUAUGCUAUGGCCCUCAACUUUGCCAAAGAAAUAGGCGUUAUUUUCCAAUGGUGUUAAUCCCCAUAACUGGAAUGCAAAUUGGAUUCUACUUGUUUGUUCCAAAGGUAUAAACUAACACAUCCCAGGCAAGCUGACCUUGUAGCUAACCAACUUUUUGUAGGUAUUCAGAAAAUGCUACUUGAACAAUGAUGCAGGUGUGAUCGAUUUACAUUUACAUAUUUGAAUCAUCAAAAAAAGAAGCUGAGCAGCACAUAGGAAGUUCAUUUAACAAUAUAUUCAUUAUUUAUAACCAGCGGCUUAAAUUAUGAACAUUCAGUGAAAAUUACCUGUAAACCCAUUCAUUAUCAUACCAAGAGACCAACUUGAUAAAGUUGUCAUUCAGAGCAAUUCCAGCCUUGGCAUAAAAAAUACUCGACCUGCCAAAGGGCAAGUGAUUAUACAAUUCACUUGCAAAAUAAGAAAAGUAUUGAAGACGAGGAAGAAUAAAGAUAUUGCAAGAUUUGCCUCACCUGCGGUCCCCGAUAAAGUCACUUGAUACCACAUCAUCCUUAGUGUAACCAAGGAUUUCCUUCAAAUUUCCCUCAUAUUCCGCCCUGAAAGAGAAUCAGAUGGUUAAAUUAAUAAGAAUAUCUCGAGUUAUUCUUUUUCAUCCUCUUUUCUUGCAAAUCAGAAGGUGCAACCAGCCAAGAAAAAGAAAUAAAUAAAUCCAAAUCAGAAUAUGAUAGAAAUUCAAAAAGAAAAAAAAUUCCUUCUAGAUCCAUUUGUAUAUAUGAAAAAACUCUCACAAACACAAACAUAUAUAUUAGUCAUAUUAUUGUGGAACUAACUAUAAGUAAUGCUAAUAAACAUUGAAGAGUAGUUAUGGAGCAACAAAAUUUACUCUAGCAGCAACUUUCAAGAAGAAACCAUCCUCAAAAUCGGUGGCAUAUAUUGAAAGGUUGAGGCCUUAACUCAAGAGUAGAUAUGAAUGGAGAGAGAGAUUUGGAUGAACUACAACAACAGAAUGGAAAACAUAAGAACAAGAUGUAAGUUUGAAUUCAAGAAUGGUCUAAAAGUUAUCUCUUGUUCCGAUUUAUAGAAACUUACAGUACACUGUCCAAGAAUAAUUCUUGAAACAUUGCUUAGUUUAAGUUGUUUCACUUUUUUGCCAGAGUACCAUAUCGACAUAGAUUCAUCCUGAAACAUGACCUAGGAACACAAAUAUAUGGGAACAGAGGAUGAAAGAAUCAAGAGGAAACAUACCUGUAACUUGCUCCUCCUGUAAGAGCAAAUUGCAACUGAUAGAUGCAGCUUCUCCAAGAUAAACUGCACACAAUAAAUACCCAGAAGCACAUCUUCUCAAAAAUGAAAAAUUUUCAACACCUAUAAAUGAAUGGAUUUGAAUUAGACCUAAAAGGUAAAUAAAUCCUUUGGUUCCAAAAUAGAAGCCAUAGGAUAGAACAUAAUUCCUACAAAAUUGGGGCAAAAAAUAGAAAAACCAUAUAAACCUACCAGUGUCACUAGGUCCCAAGGGUUUUACGGGCCUAAAAUGAUUCAGGCCUAUCUAUUCUCCACCAUCUAGAAUCUGUAAAUCAGGGGUUACCUAAGCACAGGAAUGAGUUAAAGAUCCUUGAGAAAUGAAUUUUCAUAUGGAGAAGUCUUUUCGUCUAAAAUACAACGAUAUCCAAGUAGGUGGAUGAUCUUCAUACCUUUCCUGUCUAAAACACCAGUAAAGCCUUUUGGGGCACCCUCAGGUGGAAUUUUCAUACCUACAUUUAGGGCUUCAAAUUACACCAACAACAUCUUUGAGAAAUCAUCAAACUUAAGAGAUUAUCUCAAUCCAUAAGAAAGGAAGAAAAAUCAGCUAGAAAACCUCCAAAUCGAAACUUCUACAGUAAUGAGUGGACAAAAAAAUGGAGAAGUCAUACCUGAAAAGCCACCAAAUCCUCUGGUAACUUGAAACCCUAGCAAUUCAAAACCCUAGAGAAAACCAUAAGGUAGAAAAUAAUAGAGUGAAAUCGAAAAAAUAAAAAAUAAAACAAAGUGGCAAUGUUGAAAGAAAAAAAUACCAAGCCGCAUCCCACAAUGCCUGAAGAAUCAUCCAGCUAUUACAAGAGAAAAAAAAAAAAACAAUGAGUUCGGUACCGACAAUGAUGAAAGAGGAAAUGGGUUUGGCAAUCAAAGGUGAACGGGAGAGAAGUGGGUUUGGCAACGAGGGCAAGCAGGAGAGAAAUGUUGCAAUUUAUAUAUGGGUUUUAUGGUAGCGGUCUGGUGGCGUCCUGGGCCAUAUAUGGUAGCGGCCAAUUUUAUCCCACAGCUAUAGGAUGUUUAUAGCAGCAUCCAAUUAAUCCUGCAAACUAUAUGUCUGGUGGGAACCACUCUGCAACUGCGACUUGCGUAGCUGUGAGAUUAUAUAUAUACUUUUUAGUUGCGGAUGUUGUCGACCCUUCCUAAAAUUACGCGACUAUAUCUCACUUUUUUAGUAGUGUGAUUAAUGUCUCCCCACAUUUCCAGAGAUUACCUUAAUCUCCCACAUGGUUUUCAAUACAGAAAAGAAGAAAAUCAGAGGUUUGAGAGAGAAUUGCAUGUCAAGGAAGUAUUUAAUUGUAUUGAAAAAAAUCUUUUAGCUUAUGCAGAACCAAGAUAAGCUGCCAUGAAUAUACCCCUAACAAUGUGACCAAGAUACGAGCACCACUGCAACCUAUUGGAUGUCCCAAAGAUAUAGAUCCACCAUGAACAUUGACCUUUUCCUGAAUCCACAAAAGAGCACAUGCUUAUAGAGGCAGAAAUAUGAAAAUGCUCAGGAAAAUAAAAUUGUACAAAACUGAAGUAAACAAAUUCAAUGUAUAGUAAGUCACUAUAGGUUAAAAAAAAAAAAAGUUGAGACGGUGAACCAAAACACUCACAGGAUCAAGACCGCAACUUUUAAUUAGCAAGAGCUACAACCUGCAGAAAGCAAAUGAGAUCAUAAAAUUAGCAUAAACUGUUACUUGAUAAAAGAGAUGGUAGAAGUAUAACAAGCACAAGAAUAAAUCCUUACGGCGAAAGCCUUGUUUAUUUCAUAGUAAUCAAUUUGAGAAGCCUUCAGGCCAGCAUUAGAAAUAGCUUUUGGAAUUGCAAGGGCUGGGGUAGUUGUAAACAACUCAGGUGCCUGCCCAAGCCAAUCAUGUUUUAGUAUCAAGUCAUCUGUGGUCAUAUCAAGAUCGAGACAAAUAUAAGUUAACUUUUUAACAGUACCUGAGCAGCAUCACCAUAUCCUGCAAUCUUAGCAAUCACUUGGACUCUAAGCUCAACUGCCUUCUUACCAGUCACUAGCACUAAUGCAGCCGCACCAUCACUGUCCACAAGCGAAUAGCACCAACUUACAGUGAAAUGAUUGGCAACACCUCAUGGGUUGACAUGCUUGGUUACAUAGAAAUAUACAACAGAAAUCUAUCAAAGCAAUAUAUGGGUUUAACUAAAAUCUGAUGAACUAAAAGAAUCACUAUCUCUUUAGUGGGUUAACAAAAAAGUAUAUGCCCCUAACUUAGGUGUUUAGAUAUGAAUUUAGUUAUUUAUUUUCAAAGUGAAGCCCUAUAUAAAGAAUCUGGCAAGAGUUUCUCAUUUGGCCCAGAUGGUUGGGAAAUUCAAUUGUUCAUCUCACAUGCUACAACAAGAUCAGGUGUUUGAGACUCUUAAGGACAAGGCAAGCAUGUGAGAGCACACACACACACAUACCUUAUGCUAGAAGCAUUCCCUGCAGUAACUGAACCCCCAUCCUUGAAACUUGGUCAAAGUUUCCUUAGUUUUGCAGCAUCAAACUGUCAAGAUGGAAAUGGAUAUCUUAGAAAGCAAGGAAAAUAGAUGGUAUUGAGAACCCAGAACAUGAAUUUGUUUCAUGACAGGUAAGGUAAUUACUGGGUUAAAGAUGAUCUGACUAAUACCAUUUGGUGAUUAGAUCCUAUAUAUUUGUUUUCAUACAUCAAAUUACCCAUUACAUUACAGCAAUGCCCAGGCCCCUUUUAAUUGAUGAAGAUUGAAAUGGCUUGAUAGAAAAAUUGAAGAAUGAUUCGACAUAUUAGGCAAAGUAAAUAAAAUGAAGAGAACGGCACAGGAUUGCUUAUAUCAAUAACCAGUUGCAAAUGGAAGAGUGGCGUCAACAACUUUUCCCAAAUUACAUGUAUGAAUAAGAAAUUUAUAUUUCAGAUGAUGUACGUGAAUCCCUAUGCCCAUAAAUAAUAUUUACCUUUCCUAGACCUUCAUCCUUAUCAACAAGUGCAGAUGGCAAAGUCACAUGGACCCGAUUAGUAUUUUCAAAGCCAUUUACAGUAACUUUAAGAAAAAAUGAUGUGUGAUAGUCAACACAUAAAUCACUCUUGCAAGCAGUACUGUUAUUUUAAUUUGUGUUCACUUGUUGUUCUUGUGAUGCAUGGUUUCACCAAGAGUUCGUUAGACAUGUCCACUCAAAUGAAAUUAGACCGAAGAUUGAAAAAGUAGAAGAAGAUACAAACUAAUCACAGUACAAUUUUCAACCCUACUUGGUAAAUUUCAUUUAAGUUCCAAACAACUAGUGGGUAAAAAACAUUGAGGAAAAUUUCUCAACAGACUAAUCAUUCCAAACUGUUACCUGUUGUUCUCUUGUUAUCUUAUGCUGAUCAGCACAUAUUUCUGCACAAAUUGCCAUUCCAAAAUCGUUGUAAACAUCCCAGAGGCCAUCUUUGGCCAUACCAUCAACAGUAGUAUCAUGGCCUAAUCGAGAUCCAUUUCUGUUUAUAAGCUCAGAGUCAGCUUAGAUACAUAGACACUUCUCCCUAUUAGUAAGAACGGCAACAAUAUGUACUGGCCCAACAUGCUUUGUUCACAUACUGAGAAUCAUGUUAAACUAAGCAAGCAACUCAAUAGACAAAAUUGAUCACAUGACCCAAAAAGCUAACGUUGCAUCUACUAGGUAUUUAGGCGCAUUAGACAUACUUUCCAUGCCACCAGCCACAACUACAUCAUUUUUACAUACUCUCAACCCUCUUAAACUAUCACCAAAAAAUUGUAAAAUAAUCCUGAUCUUUAGUAUAGUCAUUUGCUGAAAGUUCAAUUUUUGAAGGGAGUAUUAUGGCUGUUUAUUCAAUUGUGAGCACCCAAAUUGAACUCCCCUAUGAAGAUGGGAUUGACUACACACAGUUCUCAAUUUUCUUCUCUGAUAGAGAGGCAUUGGAACCAGGUUACAUGAUAGGGCAGCUCCGGCAAAUUCCCAAAGAGAGAUGGGCUGAAAUGUGGAGGCAUCUAAAGUACAUCUCUCAUCACUAUGAAUUCCAGUACCCCUAAAGAAAGGAGACAAUAUUGAUAUGCUAUGGAGACAGGUAAAGCACAAGCUUCCCAGGGCCAACCUUGAUGUACAUAGAAGCCGAAGGUUGAAAGCUCCAGACUGGUGGGACCGCAGGAGAUAGUUUCUGCAUCCUGCCUUCAUUACCUUGUAAAUUAAAAAAUCAUUCAUAGUGGCUACAGUCUUAAAGGGGGAAAAUUUUCCACACAACAAAUGGAUAUAUCAAUUCCAAUGUGCUUUGCUGGCUCUUCAUGUCUUGGAAGAAUUUAGAAAGAACCAUCACAACUUUCCCUUCAAAUUUAUGUCCACUAUUCUAGCAUUUUCUCUGAAUAAUUGAGGUGGUUGGUUGCCUUGAAAUUGGUUUUCCCUCUAGCCUUAAUGGGGAGGAAGAAUUUUCUGGACGUUAUAUUUUCCUAGCAGUGUUGGUGGUUGAAAUGAAUUCUUGGAAAUGUAUAUGUUUUUGGUGGUCAUCCUUGCUAGCUGUCUAUGUUUAUAAUGGAAUUUCAAUGAUGAGUCAGCAAUCUUCUUGUUGGCUUUGAGUGAGACAGUCUUCUUGUAUUCUGUUAAACCAGAGAUUGCCCAAUAAUGCAUUAAUAUGUUAAUUCUUUUUUAUUUUAGUGCCUACACAAUUUAAUUUUUAUGUCUCAGAAUAGUAGUGAUUUGAACUCUCGUAUAUAUCACUCAGUGAACAGACCGAAAUACAUCUGGAAUCUGGAUGGGUGCCUUGUCCUUCAAGGCAAACCUGGGUUUUCUGAGUUGUCUCAUAAUUCCUAAUCAUCUCUCACAAUCCCUGAGAGUUAAUGCAUUACAAGGAAAAGAGGAAAAGGGAAAAGGCUUAUUAUGGUUGCCACUUAGAGCCAUCCCACCAGUUGAUGGGAGUGAAUGCUGAUAUCCAUCACCUACCUGAAAAUUGAAAACCUUGGGACUAAUGGUUGUCAUAAUCUGCUCACUGAGUUUCUUUGUGAUGCUCUUGGAAACAAAGCUUAUUUAUUAUUCUACCUUUAUGACCCAUUUCCAUAUUAUUCUACCUUUAUGACCCAUUUCCAUUGUGUAAAAUUUUUUAGUUGAGUUUCAUUUGGAGAGGGAGACAAAAGCUCCUACUGCCCCCAAAAAAAAAAAAAAAAGAGAGAGAGAACAGAAAAACAGAAACUAGUGAUGAGCAGGUGCUGGGAUCUGAGAUUCCCUAUGAUUGGGCCUCAAGCAAGGAAGCAGAGUAGUGCAUUGCAAUUGAGCGGUGUUGGCCCCCAAAACAAAACAAAUCAAACCAAGCAGGAGGCAUCCAGACACAAUGAACCCACCACAACCACUCAUGUCCACAACUUUCUAUUACAUCUUCUACUUUACCACUAUCACUACUAAAUAUUUGGUGGUAGCAAAUAAAAAGAAAAGGGAAAUCAGAUAUCUGUAUAUCUGAGCUUUAGACUAAUUAGGCUUCUUUGGUGGUAGAAAUGAUUCUAAAUGUAUCACUUUCAAUCAGAUCCACAAAGUUUCCCUAAGGCCAAAAUCCAUAUCCAUGAAAUCUACUAAUCACAAUGCUAGCGUGAUUAUUUAAAUCGCAGAAUUUAGAUUAUGCAAUCAGAUCUACAACUCAACCAACCAUAAUCAGAUUCGCAAGUCUAAAAAACACACACCGCAUCAACACUGAAAGUGUAUCUCUCUAUUUCCCCAAGGCUACUGUGAACACAUCAUCCAUGAAACAAAAAUCAACUAAACAAAACCGACUGGAAAAAUCAGGGGAACACAUUAUCCAUGUUCUAAAUCCAGUCAUCCAAACAUACACCAUGAUUCGAGAAAGUGGAGAACAGAAACAUUAUAGUAGAUAAACAAAACGAGAAGAUUUUAUUUCUUACCAUGUUGCAAAUUGAAUCCUUGGGCAUGAUACUUUGUAAAUAAGAUUUCAUUGAAUCGUAGGCAUGAAAUCAAAACAUACCUUAAGAAUUGAAAUUAGCAAAUCGAAUCCUACAAAACCCUUCAAAUCAGCAGAUCCUCAUACCUUAGGGCUUAGUAUUGGGCUGAAACAAAGACAAUGGGCACUUGAGAAAAUCAAAAUAAGGAAAUGUGAAAAAUAAGCAAAGCAAAGCAAGGAGAAAGAAAGGGUCCAAGGAGAAAGGCCUGACAUUAAGAGUUUGGCUAUGGAGAGGCAUAGAGAGGGGUUUUUGGCUGAGGUUUUAAAAUGGGAUAUAUUGCAGCAGCGAGGUUCAUGCGGAUUAGAUGCAGGAGAAAGCAGCCUGUACAUGACUGCAUCCACAAGGAAACUCACUAUCCUUUUAAGCACGGUAAUGAUAGUGGUCUUCACUGUAGAUUUUUCCCGAGGAAAAUUUCCUGCUCAUGCUUGUAUAUUUAGAUGCGGGUGGAAUAUUAUUGAUCCUGUAUAUAAUCUUUAGUUGGGGACUUUUAGACCCCUACUAAAACUGUCACCAUAUCUUAUGUUUCUUGUAGUGUAUAAUUGGACUUUCAAAAUAGAGUAGCUAGGAAAAAAAAUUAAAAAUAAAAUGAAAAAAAUGAAAAUCAUUAGAAAGAAUUUGGGCCUGUUGAUAAGAAAGGCGGCUUACCAAAAGCUUGAGAUGAAUGUUUAAUAUCUUCUGCAGCAUAUCCAUUGGACAAAUUUGCAAAGAACCUCCAACCACUUGUGCAUAUAGGCGCCAUUGGAGAAUGGGCGCGGCCUGUACUUUAUGUGUCGUCACAACUUCUCUCUCUAUGCAUUAACAUUAGCACCUUCAAGUACUAAUUUGGUGCCAAAGCUUCUCUGCACAUCAAGGUACUGUGUCAUUGCUGCAUGAUUGUGUUUGACGCCUUUUAUAUUUGUAUCUCGUGGGAUGGUUCUGUUGACAGUUUUGGGCAUAUAUAAAAGAUGGAACCCACACUCUUCCACUUUCACUAGUUUACCAGCAAUGAAACCAUGCAAUGAAGCCUUCAAAAGCUUCCAUUCAUUUGACCAAUACUCAUUUUUAAUAGCAACCUUAGGAUAAUAUGCCACCCAAACUUGAUUUGAUUCACCACCAUUAUGGCAGCAGGAAUAACCGCAUUCAAACAAGAGAUCAUCCACAGGCCAACAUUUAGAUGAGGAACCACCCAUGGACCAGAAGUUAGAUGGUAGAUCAUAUACAAAUUCAAAUUGAUGACCAUGGAAAUUCAAUUCACAUUCUAAACUACAAGGAUCUUCCUCUGAUUCAAUAUGAAAAGGAACAUAAACAGAGCAUAAGGCAACUCCCAAGAAGUCGUUAUUCUAGUACCAAUCCAUAGGAGGCUCUAUUGUUAUUUCAGAUCUUUUUUUCUGUUGGCUUAUCCACUCUGGAAUUCCAUUAUUUCCUGGAAUAACAAUUUGGAUUUCCUUGAUCCAUUAUCCGCAUUCAAACUCCUGCAAGAAAUAGUGUAAAUCUUGUGUUUUCAUUAACUGACAUGAAGCAUUUGAACAAAGAAAAUUGAAAACUAUUUCGAAAUCCAAAAUUAUCCUAAAUAAUAGUAGUAAAAAUAAUAACAGUAACUAAAAUAUGUUGUUUGGUUGCUGAGAAAAACAGAGCAACUAAAGGUAUUGGAACCAACCAGUCAAGGCGUGUAAAGGGAUCCUCUUCUUGAUUCAAUUCAGCUAAAUCUCAAGCUGAUGGCUUUAAGUUGCGCUUCCGUAAGACCUUUAACCCUCACUUUUGCCAUAUGUUAUCUCUUCCUCUUUUCUUAUCAUCCCAAACCAAAUGAGCUCCUUCAAAAGGUUGUCUCCUCAGGCCAUCACAUAGAACACAAUUCUACAUAAAAGAAAAUGAAAACCGAAGUCAAGUGAUCAAUAAUGACAAGAUCAAAAACCCAAUUCAAAGAAAUUUGUGGUGCCAAUCUUCAUACAAAGGCCUUGAGGUUCUCAUCAAAGGCAAGCAAUUUGAUACUAAUUAUCAACUUCAGAUAAAACCCUCAAUUUUAAGGAUAGAGAGAGAGAGAGAGAGGUGCAGCCAAACUGUUUAAACAGAAUUGUAUACCAGGCUACAGGAAACCAAUGUGCAAAUAUUCUAAAGUAAUAAAGCAGCAUUCCAACUCACAUUGUUUUGAAUUUUAACCCGAUCGAGUGAAAACAAGAACUAGUUGUAUGCAUCCUUGUCAGAUAAAAGCUUCCAUAACACAUCGCCACUAAAACAAGAGAAUAAUAUCUGUAUACUGAAAUUUGCGAAUACUUCACCUCCUCCUAAAGCCAUUUAGAUGAGUACUAUUCAGUAUAGUGGAGUAAUAUAAACUAAGAAUUUUAACUCUUUAAAUCACUUAACCAGGCAAUAUAAACUAAGAAGAGAAAGAAAGGUGGCUUACCAAAAGUUUGAGAUAAUGUUCAGUGUCUUCUACAAAAAUCCAUUGAAAAAAUUUGUAAAGAAACUCCAACAAUUUAUGCAUAUGAUUCUCUUCAUCAUCUUGGGCGGCAUAGCUUUCCUGUCCAUCAACAUUAGCAUCUUUUGCAAUACAAAUCCAUGAGCCAGCAUUUAGAUGAGGGGAUCAUCCACUAAUCCAAAUCCAUCAUCUCAGAAAUUCACAUCACAUAGCGAAUUACAACCAUCUAUAUGAACAAAGUAAAGAAUUUAAGCUAUUUUUAGUAAAUUUGUCAUGUCAUCUUAAAGAAUAAACAAAGGUAAUUUACCUAUAAGUCAAGGCAUUCUUAUAGAAUUUGCUAAUAAUUUCAAAUACACCAUAUAUAACAACAAAAAUAGAAACGAUAUUUGAACAAAGAGUUUUUUUUCUCAAAAAAAAAAUAAAAAAUACUAUUCUCAUUUUGGUUCAUCAUUAGCAUUUUUGCUACCACUUCUAAAUUAAAAAUAAUAAAAAUAAAUAAAAGGUAAAUUAAAUUAAAAUUAUAAGCUAAUAAAAUCUACAAAAAUCAUCUUUAAAAAAUUAAAAGAAUAUCUAAAAUAAGAAAAUCUAAGACAAGUUAUUUUUAUUUUUCAUUUUAUUUUUGUUAGGUUUAAUUUUAUUUUCACUUUUGUAUGUCUAUUAUUUUUUUUAAGGAAGAUAACGUAUGUAGACUACAAAAUUAUAACUGUAUUAUUACAUUUCUAUGCGAGUAAUAAUGUGUGACCUAAAAGAUGUGAUCAGAUUACUAAAAGAUGAAAAUUGUGACCUAAGUACAAGAAUAUAAUUAGGGUACAAAAAUGUCAUUAUAAUGUCAAAAAUGUGAUUAGCAUAUACAAAAUCUGACCAAGAUUAUUAGACACAAAAAUUGUGAUUAGGGUGUGAAGAAUAUAAUUAAAGUAAAAAAAAAAAUUACAAUGAGAUGAAGAACAUGAUCAAUGAAUAAAAGAUAUGGUUAGAGUAUAAAGAAUAUGAGUAAAGUACAAAAAAUAUGGUUUAGAUAUAAAAAAUGUGAGUGAGACAUUAGACUAUGAAAAAUGUGACUAAUUAAUUUAUAAUUAGGAUCAAACUUAGACCAAAAUGAAAAAUAAAUACUAAUUCUUGAUAUAACCAACUUUGACUUACACUAUAAUUAAGAAAUUUAAAAAAUAUAUGAUAAUUUGUAAAACUUAAAUAUAAAGUUAAUUCAAAGGUUUUUUGUUCACCUUUUGUUAAUCAAUAUAUGCAUUCCAUUUUUUCCUUCUAAAUUCCGGACUUAAGACUUCUAAUAUCUAAAUAUGGUCAUUUCCUUCCAAUAACUCAUUCCAAAGAUCAGCUUUUGAGAAUUCCUAACACAUUUUCAACAAAAACAAAAAGAAUUUAGGUGUUUCAGCCCAACAAUUGGGGAUCUCAAUUUUUUUCCUGAAAUUUUGGGACAAGUAAAAGCAAACAAAUUAUAAAAUAAUAUUAAAAAAAAAACCAUGAAAGAGGGAAAAAACAAAAACGGAAUAUCAGUUUGUUUAAAUGAUUAGACAUGUAACAAUUUUAAAAAUAAAUAUUCUAACCUCUAGUAAAUUAAAAGAAAGAAGACAUACCUUACAGGAGGGUGAAGAAAAGUAUGUUGGGUUGAAAACUAGAGAUGUCUUGAUUUUUUGUUGUGUGGGUUCUCUGCAUCAUCAAGACUUCUCUUAACAUUGAAAUCUGUAUUUAAGAUGUCGGUUUUAUAUAUAAGAUGAAGCCCACACUCUUCCACUUUCGAGUGUUCACUAUGAAAUAAAGCCUUCAAAUGUAUCCAUUUAUCUGACCAAUAAUCAUUCUCAAUAGCAACCUUAGGAUAAUAUGCCACCCAAACUCUAUUUGAUUCACCACCAUUAUGGCAACAGGGAUAACCGCGUUCAAACGAGAGUUUAUCCAGGAACCGGAGUUCAUAGAAAAAACGUUCCGGAUAUUCUAAGCAAUUAUGGAAAUACAAUUCACAUGUCAAACUACAAGGAUCUUCCUUAGAUUCAAUGUGAAGUGGAACAAAAACAGCAAAUCCCAAAAAGUUGUUAUCCUCCCACCAAUUCACAGGAAGCUCUGUUUCUAUUUUAGAUCCUUUUUUCUUAUGGCUUAUCCACUCCGGAAUUCCAUUAUUUCCAGGAAUAAAAAUUGUGAUUUCCUUGCUCCAAUAGGACCGGCACUCAAACUCCUGCAAGAAAUAUUAGUGUAAAUCUUAUGUUUUCGCAAAAUAAAAAAAGAAAAAAAAAAAAAAGGUUAAAUGUCUAGAAAAUCAUACCUCAAUUGCUGAUUUGAAACAUUUGAAUAGAGAAAAACCAAGUGAACUUGAGGGACUUGAUAAAGUUUCCAAGCAAGGACAACCAUGGGCAUCAAGAAAUCGUAAACUUUGGGGAAGCGUUGGAAUUUGUACAAGCUUCUGGCAGUGACUCAAGUCGAGGGUUCUCAGUUUAGAAAGUUGAAUGAUGUUGGCAGGUAUUCUACUAAAAUGGUUCCCAUCCAGAGAUAACUUUAGCAAUGAUGACAGGUGGCAAAUAUGAUUGAGGAUCUCUCCUUCCCUUAGAUUGCAGUUACUCAGAGAUAAUUCUUCCAGUAAAGGUAAGCUCCAAACAUUCGUAAGGAUUCCUUCCUCCAUUAGAUUGCAGUUAUGAAGAGAUAAAGUUUUCAAUGAAGAAUAGUGGAAAAUAUCACUGAGGAUUCCUCGUUCCAUUGUAUUAAAGUUACCAACAGAUAGUACUUUCAGUGAUGAUGGAUGGAGACAAUCACUGAAGAUUAUGCUUUCCAUGAAUGUGGAGUUUCUUUCACAUAAUUCUACCAGUGACAACAGGGAGAAAACAUGAUGGUUAAGGACCUUUCCUUCAUUGUGUCGUUUGAAUGAGUAGAAACUCCGAUUGCCCCACCAUAUUACUCUUUGCUUUAGAAAGCAAAAAGUUAGAUCCGAAGAUCCCGAAGAUCUUGAAGAUCCCACUAGGUUCACCUCCAAUCUCUCCAGUUUUGGACAUCUUUCGACAUUAAGUGUUUCAAGAGAGCUCAAAUUGAAAAUGCUCUCCGAAAGACUCCUUAGGCUUUUGCAACUAGACAAAUCUAGGUGUUGAAGAGCCUUUAGACGUCCAAUUGAGGAUGUAAGCUCUUCUAUACUUGUUUCCCUCAAAUCAAGCCUUUUUAGAUUUUCCAUAUCAUCUUUGAUUUCUGGAAAGCGCUUUAAAUUUGAACACCCCCGCACAAUGAGAGUUUCAAGAGAGCUCAAAUUGCAAAUGCUCUCCGAAAGACUCCUUAGGCUUUUGCAACCAGACAAAUCUAGGUGUUGAAGAGCCUUUAGACGUCCAAUUGAGGAUGUAAGCUCUUCUAUACCUGUUUCCCUCAAAUCAAGCAUUUUUAGAUUUUCCAUAUCAUCUUUGAUUUGUGGAAAGCGCUUUAAAUUUGAACACCCCCGCACAAUGAGAGUUUCAAGAGAGCUCAAAUUGCAAAUGCUCUCCGAAAGACUCCUUAGGCUUUUGCAACCAGACAAAUCUAGGCGUUGAAGAGCCUUUAGACGUCCAAUUGAGGAUGUAAGCUCUUCUAUACCUGUUUCCCUCAAAUCAAGCAUUUUUAGAUUUUCCAUAUCAUCUUUGAUUUCUGGAAAGCGCUUUAAAUUUGAACACCCCCGCACAAUGAGAGUUUCAAGAGAGCUCAAAUUGAAAAUGCUCUCCGAAAGACUCCUUAGGUUUUUGCAACUAGACAAAUCUAGGUGUUGAAGAGCCUUUUGACGUCCAAUUAAGGAUGGAAGCUCUUCUAUACUUGUUUCCCUAAAAUCAAGCCUUUUUAGAUUUUCCAUAUCAUCUUUGAUUUCUGGAAAGUGCUUUAAAUUUGAACACCCCUGCACAAUGAGAGUUUCAAGAAAGCUCAAAUUGCAAAUGCUCUCCGAAAGACUCCUUAGGCUUUUGCAACCAGACAAAUCUAGGUGUUGAAGAGCCUUUAGACGUCCAACUGAGAAUGGAAGCUCUUCUAUAUCUGUUUCCCUCAAAUCAAGCCUUUUUAGAUUUUCCAUAUCAUCUUUGAUUUCUGGAAAGCCCUUUAAAUUUGAACACCCCUGCACAAUGAGAGUUUCAAGAGAGCUCAAAUUGUCAAUGCUCUCUGAAAGACUCCUUAGGCUUUUGCAACCAGACAAAUCUAGGUGUUGAAGAGCCUUUAGACGUCCAACUGAGAAUGGAAGCUCUUCUAUAUCUAUUUCCCCCAAAUCAAGCCUUUUUAGAUUUUCCAUAUCAUCUUUGAUUUCUGGAAAGCGCUUUAAAUUUGAACACUCCCGCACAAUGAGAGUUUCAAGAGAGCUCAAAUUGAAAAUGUUCUCCGAAAGACUCCUUAGGUUUUUGCAAUAAGACAAAUCUAAGUGUUGAAGAGCCUUUAGACGCCCAAUUGAGGAUGGAAGCUCUUCUAUAUCUGUUGCCCUCAAAUAAAGCCUUUUUAGAUUUUCCGUAUCAUCUUUGAUUUCUGGAAAGCCCUUUAAAUUGUAACAGGCAUCCAAGAUGAGAGUUUUAAGAGAGCUCAAAUUGCAAAUGCUCUUCGGAAGAUUCGCAAGGUUUUCGCAAAAUGACAAAUCUAGGUAUUGAAGAGCCUUUAGACGUCCAAUUGAGGAUGGAAGCUUUUUUAUACCUGUUUCGCCCAAAUCAAGCUUUUUUAGAUUUUCCAUAUCAUCUUUGAUUUCUGGAAAGCACUUUAAAUUUGAACACUCCUGCACAAUGAGAGUUUCAAGAGAACUCAAAUUGCAAAUGCUCUUCGGAAGAUUCGCAAGGUUGCGCAAUAUGACAAAUCUAGGUGUUGAAGGGCCUUUAGACGUCCAAUUGAGGAUGGAAGCUCUUUUAUACCUGUUUCCCUCAAAUCAAUCACUCUUAGCUUACUCAUAUUUCCUUUGAUUGCAUGAAAGUUUCUUGGAAGACUCUCGAGGUUGCUGCAUCCUGUCAUAUUCAAGAAAACAAUUAGUUACUCACUUUAAUAAUCAUAGUAGUAAAUAAACCUUUAUAGUAACUUUAUACAACCUUUUAGAAUUAGGAUCUCCAAAUUUGGCAUACUUGAAAAGUCUGAAAUUUUAACAAGAUCGCUUGAGUAACUGAGGUUGAUGACUUUCAAGUUGUCAAGAAUUUGGAACAAAAUAAAAAGCCUUAGUAGAUAAUUUAUUUAUAAAUUUUAAAAUUAUUAUAAAAAUUAUUAAUGAAACAACAAUUAUAAUAAUACCUCAUUCCCUUGCCAAAGUUGUUUUAUGCUGCUAUGCUUUAAAUUAAGUUCAACAAGAUUCUUUGCAUGAAAAUUUGUUGGCAAGGAUUCGAAUGGGUAUCCCUUAAAAUGGAAAUAUCUUAACUCAAAAUAAGGAAAAUCAAGAUUCUGGAGGUCCUUGGGGAAGAUCUUCUCAAAAUCUAUCAUCCAAAACCUUGAAGAAUAGACUUUUAGCAAUCUAAGUCUAUUCAUUUUUGUGAAAGAAUUUGUAGAUAUCUGACUUGCGAGAGAAAGUGGUACAAAUAUUCCUUCAAUUGCUCGAGUCCCCUAAAAAAUAAAAGCCAAGAAUAAGUCAAGCACAAGAUGUAUGAAAAUCAAUUAAGUUAUAUAGAUAUAUUAUUUCUUAAACAAAAUACAUUUGGCUCUUACCAUAUUUCUUGUUAACACACUAACAACAUCAUCAGGAUCCCAGAGUCUACUCCUGUUUCCAGGCUCUUUAAGACAUUCUUGAUGAACAAUUUCUUGACCCAUUUGUUGUACUAAAUCAUGCAUAUCUAACUUGUUUUUUUGAAAUAGUAAGAAGGCAUCUAUCAUUCAGAACUUUUAUUCCCAUCAUUGCAUAACUUCCUAAUAUCCUUGAAACAAAAUCUUUGUCUUUUCCUCUGAAAAAACAUGCAAUAUCCAAGAAUAUCUGUUGACAUGUAUAAUCCAAUUUAUCAUAACUUACUUUAAGCACACUUUGGACUUCCCCGUCAGGUAUUUUUUUUAGUUUAUGCAAUUCACUUUCCCAUUCAUUUUUUGACUUCUCACGGAGAAAGCCACCCAAAACUUUAAGUGCUAUUGGAAGGCCAUGAGUAUACUCCACUACACUAUUUGAAAGGCUUUCAAAUCCAAUUUUGGGAGUAUUUUGCUCGAAGGCCCACAAAUUAAAAAGUUCAACAGAUUUUUCAUGAUUCAACUUUUGCACCUCAUAAAGUGCUUUUACUCCAUGUUGAUCUAACAAAUGUUUAUCUUUAGUUGUUAUGAUGAUUAUACUUUUUGCACCAUACCAACCAUGUUUUCCGGCCAAUUUUUCUAAUUGCAUGUAGUUGUCCACAUCAUCAAGAACAAUAAGGACUCUUUUCAAUCGAAGCCUUUCCUUUAUCACAUUGAUUCCUUGGCUACUAUUGUUGAAUUUUGGCGCUUUACACUUUAAGAUAUCUUGAAGAAGUGUCUUUUGUAAUUUAAGUAGACCAUCUUCACAUUUCCCCCCAACAUUUCCAAGAAAGCUACUACCAUCAAAUUGAGAUGAGAUAUCAUUAUAAAUAGCCUUAGAGAUGGUAGUUUUGCCAAUUCCACCAAUCCCAUAGAUACCAACCAUGAGAACCUCAUCCAACUCAACUUUUAUAAGUGAUUUUAACACCUUCAAAUGAAAGUCCAUUCCAACUAUGUUGCAGCCCAUAUCUAAAGGCGUACGAUUCAAUCUUAUAACGAUAUCUUCAAAAAUCCCUUGAAUAAACUCUGCCUCAGAUCUAUUAAUCAUAAAGUAAGUGGUAUUAGAAUAUGUCACAAAUAUAAUCAAUAUGAAAGAAACUUGAACAAUAGAAUGUAAUAGAAAAAAACUUGAACAAUAUUGAUUAAUUUAAUAUAAUCAAUAUUGAAUUACUUAUUUAAGUACAUUCUAAUUAUUCCUAGCUAUUAAUUCAAGUAAGAAAAAAGUGAAAAAUGUGAACUUUAGUUGCUUACUUAGUUGAAAGGUUCAAAUUGAAGUCGACUAGUAUAGAACAUUAUUUGACUUCAUGAUAAGGGAUGCUAUAAUCAUAACACAAGCACAUGUCAAGCUUCAAGAUAGCUUCCAAUUUGGCAUCCAAGUUCCAUAAUCUAGUAAUACCUUUCUUGAUUAAAGAGAAUUGUUACUCCACUAUGCUCUCACAUAACUUUCUUUCACCCUUUAUUUAGUAAAAAAAGAUCUUUAAAUUCCUCAUUCACUUGUUUCUAUGUUUUAUCAACUUACCAUUAUUUUAAUGAUUUGUUUGUUGAUUAAAAACCUUGAAUUUAAUUGAAGAAGAUUUGAAAUACUUCUUAAAGAAAAUUAAUAAAGAGAAUAGAGUUUCGUUUUUGUUAGUGCAUGCUUUCAUAUUCACAAUGCUUUCAUUAUGAGAAUAAAGUUGGUAAAUUAAGUAAAUAUAUAUAGUAAGAGUUUUUAGGGAUUGAGCAUAGGGCUAACUAACCAAACGGUCAAUGGAAUAGACUUUUUAUAUAAAAAAAAAAGUAAAGAAUAAUAAAUAAAUAAUGUAUCAUUAAAUCACAAUACAGGUUAUCCAAUAAUAAUAUCAUACUAAAAAUAUGAUCAUUAUAGGGUAGCAAUUUUGGAUGAACAAGUCUUUGAACAAUUUAUGUACAAAUACUAAGAAAAUUGAGACUCUAAAUAAUAAUAAUAAGGAAGGUGCAUGAGAAUCUUUGUAGUGAGUGAGCAUGGAAUUCAUUGGCAAUACAAUCACAAAUGUCUUUGCAAUAUAGAAUGGUUAAACAUUAUACUGGGCUUGUGUCUAUAAAUUCUAGAUCUCUAAAGAGACGUGACCAUUCAAGGUGUCAUAAGAUAAUUGUAAUAGAGGUGAUAGAGACUACAAAUAAGAUGUAGGGAUCCCAAAGAGAUGAGAAAAUCCUUCAUGCAAGCAACCUGUAAACUACACUUUUGAGCUAGCAUUAAAAAUGGUUCAAAGUUUAGACAUGUCAUUUACACUUUCACUCUUUAAAAUAAAUAUCUUACUAAAAGUGUUCAUUAAAUUAAACUACAAUAUUCAGCACUUAAAAAGCUUUAAAUUUUGAAUAUAUUAGAGUGAAGAUGAUGAUGAUGAUAGUGAUGAUAAUGAUGAUAAUAAUCAUAAUAACAAUAACAAAGUCAUCAUAUUAGUAGUAUUGAUAGUAUUUGUAUUAUAAACCGUAGUAGUAGUAAUAAUAAUAAUCACAUGAAAUUAGAACAAAAAAAUACGAAAAGAAUGAAAUAGAAAAGUGAAAUGGAAGAAAAUAAAUAAAUAAAUAAAUGAAGCCAUUUGGACUCUUUUUUAUUGAUCAAAUAUUAGUCAAAUAUUUAGUAGUAAUUUUCUUGUAGAAAAAGAAAAAUAUAAAAAAAAACAUAAAAUAACAAAAUUAAAAUGGAAGCAAAAGAUAAAAUAAAAAAUAAAAAAAUAAAUGAAGCUAUUUGGACUUUUUUUAUUGAUCAAAUAUUAGUCAAAUAUUUAGUAGUAAUUUUUCCUCCAACCCUAGGUCCUUAUACAAUUAAAUUAUUUAUCUCAACUAUUUAUUAAUAAAAUAAAAGAAUGAUUUACUUGUAGGUCUCACCAUGAAAUCCAAGGUCAUGCUACCUUAUGUACAUGUGAAAAAAAAUGAUAAAAAAAGGGUUGAAAAUCGUAAAACCACAAGAAUUAAAUUAAUAUAAGUGCAUUUUUCAGGCUUUAUACAUUUUUUUUAUUUUAUUAAACUUAAAAUGAUGAAGUUUAUAUAUAUGAAAUCAUGGUGGGUAAAAUACUAAAUGUUAGAUAUUGAUAAAAUCUCAUAGUUCAGCUUUUUUCUUUUUUUAAAUACUUUGAAUAAAAAACUUCUCCAUCUUGCAUAAAAUAAAUUGGUCAUAUCAUGGUUUUAAAAACCGGACCGGACCGGCCGGUCCGACCGGUCGAACCGUCGACCGGUGAACUUUUCCAAAUCCCUAGACCUUAUGUAAAGAUAAAAUUAACAAUUUAGAUGGGCCAUGCCCACAGAAGCCCAAUUUGCUGCCAUUUAUUAUUUUAAAAUAACACUUCAACUUGGGCCAUGCUUCCGAGCCAUGCUUCCAGGCCCAGCUUGCUGGCUUGUUUGGACUUGAAGGCAAGUGGGAAGCUAUUUAUAGAGCACAUGGAGCACAUAAAAUUCAUGUGCUUCCGAUGUGGGAUUGGGAAUGAGACUCAUUAGAAGAAAACAUUGCCUCUUGAGGGUUGGACGUACGGAAUUUGAUUUUAUUUCAAAUUUUUAUCAUAUAAAAUCUUUAAAAAAAAUGUAAAUAUUUAAAUUCAUGUUUAUUUUUAUAAUAAUAAUAAUAUAAUAAUUAUAAAAAAUAAUAUAAAUUAAUUAAUAUAAUAAUUUUAAAACAAUAAAAUACAAAGACAAAAAGAUAAAAUUAAAUAUUAUAAAUUUUUUUAUCUUAAAUAUAUAUUCUUUCUUAAAUAUUACAUAUUUCUAUUUAAUCAAAUUUAAAAUAUUAAACUUUAUCAUUUAAUUUAAUUUAAUAUACCAAAUAUAAAAAUCAAACAUUAUUAAAAUUUGUAAUUUUAUAUAUUUUUAAUUUUUAUAAUUAUUUUAAAUUUUAUAUAAUAUAUAAAUUAUAUAUUUAAUUAUUUAUUACAUCACCGGUUCAAUAGCGGUUCGACCGCCGGUCCGACCAGUGAACCGUGAACCAGUAACUUUUCCGGUUCGACCACCGAUCUGGUUUUUAAAACAUUGGGUCAUAUAAACAAAUAGAAAGAAAAAGCAGGAGGGUAAUAUAUCUAAUAUUAAGUAGAUUCAAUUCAAUAAUGGACCGGUAAAGCCUCAGUCCAAUCUUAAACUUAGGCCAGUUUAGAAUUUCUCAACCAAUUCAUCUAUUUUGUUUAAAAUUUGAUAGUGAUAGAAUGAAGUAAGUUUCCAGAUAGGUUUGAAGAAAGAAAUAAAAUGAUUAAAGUAGGAUAAAAUUUAUCCAGUAGAGGUGAAAAGAAAUAUAGUUACUGAUUUUGCAGAUGAUAUCCAGAUAGGUUGGCUGCUGUCUUCAAGGCAUUCUUCCACGUUUCUAUUGUCUUCUUCUUCUCUUGAUCUGCAUCUUUUGCAUGCUCCAAAAAUGCAUCUUCAAAACUUCCUCCUUGAUUUCGUACAUCUGUUGGCUCCACAUGGUAGAAAACCGGCACAACCACAGAUCCCUUUUCUUUCUUACAGUCCAUGAUCUUUGCGAGUUCAUUCAAACACCACUUGGAGUCAGCAUAGCGUUUUGAGAAAAUAAUAAUAAAAAUCUUUGAUUCUUCGAUAGCUCUCGAGAGAUCUGAUGCGAUAUCUCCUCCUUUCUCAAGUUCUUCAUCAUCUCUGAAGGUGUGAAUUCCACGUGCAACCAACUUAGCAUAAAGAUGACCAGUGAAAGUCUGGCGGGUGUCUUCACCUCUAAAACUCAAGAACACAUGAUAAUUAUAACCAUCACAAUUAGAAGUGGAAGACGACGCUUUCAAGGAGCUGCUAGAAGCCAUUUCUGGACUGGAUCUGGCAAAGUUACAAGGAGGCUAAGAACGAAAAGAAAGGGUCUUUGGUUGCAAAUGACUGUUCUUCUCCUCUGGCAAGCAAUUUUCCUUUUUAU
rnacentral:lncRNA from 1 species